rnacentral:lncRNA from 1 species
AUCUUAAUUUAAUCAUAGUUAAAAUCCUAUUGGAUUUCAUUCAAACUUUAGGCCAAAACUAAUUAAAUCUUAAAUCCUAAAUAAAUCCUAAUAAAAUCUUAAAUCGUAAAUUAAAUCCUAAACAAACCGUAAAUCAAAUCUCAACUAAAUCCUAAACUCUAAAACCCUAAAUCAAACCCUAAUCAAAUCCUAAUCUAAAUCAAAUCCUAAACAAAUCCUAAAUCAAAUUCUAAACCCUAAAUCAAAUCCUAAUCAAAUCCUAAUCCUAAAUCAAAUCCUAAUCAAACUCUAAAUUCUAAAUCAAACUCUAAACCUAAACCAAAUCCUGAAUCCUAAACCAAAUUCCAACUAAAUCUUAAAUCAAAUCCUAAACAAAUCCUAAAAAAAAUCCUAACCAAAUUCUAAAUCAAAUCCUAACCAAAUCUUAAAUCAAAUCUUAACCAAAUCCUAAAUCAAAUCCUAACCCUAAAUCAAAUCCUAAACCAAAUUCCAACCAAAUCCUAAACCAAACCCUAAAUCCUAAAUCAAACUCUAACCAAAUCCUAACCCUAAUAAAAUCCUAACUAAACUCUAAACCCUAAACCAAUCCGUAACCAAAUCCUAGUAAUUUCUACAACAGAUUUAAACCUCAAUAACUAAUGUAUGAACCAUUGAUUUUAACUCAAAUUUUUCAAACUUCUUAAAAACUAAGUUGAAAAUAAGCAAAAAAAGUUUUAAAAGGAUCGAAAUUACCAAAUAGAUGAUAACCUCAAAAAUGUACUCGGAUAUUAGCCGGCCUCCUUCUCCAACCUUGAUGCCAAUCUCCUAAAGCCAAUAUCUCUUCUUUUUACUGUUUGAUUGUUCUCAAAAUUCUCAUAUACAUAGAAAAUCAAGUCUAAUAUCCUCUCACAUAAAUUUCACUUCUAUCUAACUAGUAGAUUGUAAGAAAUCUUGAAAACCCUCACUAGACCUAAAAUUCUACAUUCUGAGACCUUGACCUUUUAAACCUCAAUAACCCUCAAUUCAACCAUUAGAUCAAGCACAAAUUCACAAAACAUAUUGAAUACAACUAUAACCAUUAACCUACAAAAUUUCGUAUGUAGAUCUACAACAAAACUCUUGAAAUCACCCAAAAUAUAAAUCCUAUUUUAUUUUACAAAAUCCAAGUCAUCCAAAACAAACCUUGACUUUGCAAAGCUCUUACAAGGUCAAUACAAAUCCAAAUCACCCAAAUCUAAUUCUCAUAGAAACCUUAUCCAAUCUUCUAUCGAAUUCCAUUCUUCGAUCUGCCAAAGAGUCAUAGAGUCAUCGUCGAGACUCAGUUUUGUGCCUUAGGAUCUGAUUUCAACCCUGGUUCAUAACCUGCCCUCUCCGGGUAUCAACAUCUAGUUUUUCAAAGUAAUUUUUACUAGAAUUUACUCUUAACUUCCUCCUAAAGAUGUCUAUAUUAUUUAUUUUUCCAAUCUACCUUAUUUUGCCUUAUUUUUGGUCCUACAAAGUAAGUAGAAGCUAUUUUUUUUAAAAGGGCAGCAUUACUACUAAAAGUUUUACUACCUUCCUAUCUUUUAUCCAUAUUUAUCUACUUUUCUUUUAACUUGGCUCUUCUAUAAUAAGGUCCAUAUUAUCAUCUUUUACCAUAUAGUCAUGUUACAGCAUGACAACGUUCUAGUACAAGUUCUAAAAGCUUGGGCUCACAAUCAUCAUCUAGCACUUCAAGUUCAAUUUCGUAAUGAGUAUGUGCUUCGGAUGUGAUUCUUAUUGAGUCGAUCUUGAACUUGACAUAGCUUAUUGUACUUCUUUCUUUGUUUCUUUUAAUCCUUAGUACAAUUUCUUCUUCUUUAUAAUACUUUUGCUCAAGAGAUAGUACAAGCUCUGCAUUGAAUUUAGAAAUUGUCUUUGAUGAUAUCUUUUCCUUGAUGAAGAAUUUAGAGCUUAUUUCUCUGACUAUAACAGUACUACUAUUUUUUAUUGAAUAUAGUAUCUAUUGUGUGGUGACAAUAUUAUUGACUUUUGGGAGUGCUAUGAUUUUUCUCUCUGUUACAUCUUACAAUUUGAUCUGGAUCUCAUACUUGUACUCCUGAGGAGAUUUAGAACUUAAGUCUUUCUUGGACUUUAUAAACUUUGUUAAAAAAUCCAUAAUAUAUAUUCUUACAGAGUACAAUUAAACGUUCUAAUAAGAACAGCUAUUAGCUAAUUCAUUUAUAACAAUACUAUAGAAGAGUUUAUUCUAUCAUAUCCUAGUACACUAAAUAAUAAUUUUGUUGACAAUCUAUAGAGGAAAAAAGAUUUUUAUGAAGUAAGAAAAAUAAACAAAUCAAGACUAUAUCCUCAUUAGGAGUUUGUAAGGAGAUUUAUGUCAUCUCAAAUACCAUAUAAUAACCUAUUGUUGUUUCAUAAUAUUAGAUCAAAAAAGACAUUUACAUCUAUAGUAGUUGUUGAGUCUUAUAAAUUAUACAAAAGAAGAUCACUCGUACUUGUAAGAGGUAGGACAUCUGCUGAUAAUUUUAAGGACCAGAUUCAUAAGUGGCCAGGUGGAGAAGUAAAAGAUUAUGAAAUAAAAAAGUAUAUCUCUUUUACAAACAAGCUAAAGAAAUUGGAGGAUAAUCAAGUAAUAUCAAGCUUUAGUAACAUGAUAAUGAUAAUGGAUGAAAUUUAUAAUUUAAAACACUCUAUGUCAAAUCUCGAUACAGAGAUUGUAUAUGAUCAAAUGUGGAAAUUAUCUCACCUUGUUAGGAACUGUAAGAUACUUCUUUUAAUCGCAACUCCUAUGAUAGAUAAAGCCAAAGAAAUCUAUUCUUAAUUUGAUACUUGAUGCUAAUCAUCAGUUUGAUACAUCAUUCUUUCCUACUGAAGAGAGCUUUAGAAAAAAUAUAAUGGGUAGAAUAUCAUAUCUUAACAUUAACUAACAUAUGACAAAAGUAAUAGAAGAAGGAAUAACUCUAGAAGAUUGUUCGAUCAAAGUUGUUCCAUCUUAUAUGAAAGGAUAUCAACUUGAAGCGUAUAAGAAGAUAGAUAUCAACAAUCUUGAUGAUAGUGUAUAUAGAAACUCUAUAUAGUACUCUUUAAUGACAUUCUGGGAUGGAUGUAUGGUGCUGAAGUAUUUGCAAAGAUAGUAAGGAUCAAACGAUAUAAUAAAAUAAAGUAUACACACAAUGAAGAAGUUAAAUAACUACUAAAAAGAGACAACUUGUACUUGUACUCUUGUAAGUACUCAAAGCUGCUAGACAUAAUAGAAAAUAAUAAAGAUAUGCUAGCAUGUGUAUUUUGUGAAGAAGUUAAAGGAACUGGAUUAAUUAUGAUCAGUUGUAUAUUUGAACUCUUUGGAUAGCAAUUGUACAAUGGCAAAAGCAUCGACAAGAUCAAUAAAGGUUUGCGAUACACGUUGUACACAAGAAAUACAAUUGCUUGCUCUAAUCCAAAGAAGAGAUUAGAUGGAUUUAGAUCUCCAAAGAACAAGUAUGGAGAAUAUGUUAAGAUAUUACUUGGUAGUAGAAUUAGUGGAGAGAUUGUAAGCUUAACUAAUGUAAGACAAGUUUAUAUUCUUACCCCUCAUUGGAAUAAGUCAACAAUAAUAUAAGUGAUUGGAAGAGCAGUAAAGAGUCAAUCACAUGACCUUUUAAAGGUUGAAGAAAGGUCAAUACAUGUUUACAGACAUGUAGCUCUUGCAGGUAAGAGUAACAAGUGGGUACCAUUUGUAAGUAUAGACAUGUACAAAUACUUAAUCUCAGAAGAGAAAUCAAAGCGUAUAGAAGAUGUAGAAGAUGUUAUAAGAAGCUGCUAUGUUGAUUAUUAUUUAAAUGUUGAUACUACAAUAGUAAGAUAUGGAUUUGGUGAUGAUAUAUCAACCUAUCUAUUAUGGUACUAUAAUGAUAUAGAAGCUUCUAUACGAGAGGUUGUUACUAAAUCAAUAGAGGUUCUUUCAAUAGGUACUAUAAGCACAUUCUUAAACACCAAGAAAAAUAUAGUAAAAGCUUUAAUUGGAAAAGGUAUUACUCUUGACAAUGGAACAAAGAUUAAAGAAAUAAGAGGUAUGAUACACUUAGAUUCUAUUAUUACCUCUAAUAAAGAUAUGCACUUAUCAAGUUUCAAAUAGCACAUUAAUACAAAUUUUAAUUACUUCACAAAGGUAGUAUAUGAAGUCAAGAGAGAUCUCAUGUAUGUUGUAUCAUCAAUAACGAUGUCGUAGAAGGUGCAUCUAUUUGAAUCAGCAAUACUAAGUAGUAAUAAGAAUGUUAAUUUGUUCUUUGAAAAUUCUUUUGAUUGUAUCAAUGGCAAGUAUUAUCAUAUACUGUCGUACAAAAUUGUAAAAGAUAACUACUCAUAUUCCUUAUCUUUUGGAUCUUUCAAAGUAUUUAUGAAAAUAAGAAUCCUAGAUGGUACUUGAAAAACAAUAGAUAUAGAUAAUGAACUUGAUAUAAUACAAAAAAUAAUAUCAAAGUCAAAGCAUUUUAGAGAGAUAAUAGAAACAAAGCAUAAGAUAUAUGCUAUAUUUUCUAAUGGACAUAAUAGGUUUAGGAUACGUAACUCCUUAUCUGAGAAUAAAGAAAGGUCGCUUAAAGAUCUAAGAAGCAUCAAUAGAAGUAGAUGCAUAAACUCAUAUAAUAGGUCUACGAUGAUAGACAUACUAUUGUACUUGCUUACACAUGAAACUAAGCAAGAAAGUAUUAUAGAAAUAAUUUUAUAUAAAAAUUUGUUAUAACAAUUUAUUUAGAAUUUAUUUAGAAAUUUUAAAAAAAAAUAGAAAAAAUAUUAAGACCUUGGUAAAAUUGAAUUUUAUCACCUUGGAAGCUAUUAUGAAAAAAUGGAAUAAGAUUGGAUGGAAAUACAAGGUUCUUAGGCUAUUUGUAUGUUUUUAAAUACCAUAGUGAAGUUAAAAAUACAAAAAUAAGAAUUCUACUAAUAGAAAAUAGGAAGUCCAGUAGCUAGGCUAAUCCUUAUAAAAAAAUAGGUGUAUAAGUUCCAUAUGGAUUGUAUCACCUUGGAUGUAGGUAGGAAUAUAAGAUUAAGGUCUCAAGGCCUCUUUAGGCACUCCAUAUAUACUACAUGUGAGCCUUGAUGAGGCUCAAACCUUUGAUCUAUAAGCAAAUUACUCUUAAGAUAAAAUAUUUUUAUUUAAUUUAUUAAUUAUUCACUUUCUAUUUUUUAACUUUUAUAACUUAUUUAUAAUAAUUUGAAUUUAUAUGUUUCUUAUGUUAUUAGAAAGAUAAUAGAAUUAAUUACCUAAAAUAAUAUAUAUAUUAUUUAUUUUUAUUUUUUAUUGGAUAAAAACUAAAUAAAUAGAUUAUAGACUACUUUUAUUGUGUGUAAUUGCUUGAUUGCACUUAUUUUACUUAAUUUGUGUAAUUCUUUUUUUUAAUCUUAUUUAUUGUAUCCUCUACUUUAAAUUAUCAAUUAUAAAGAACUCUUAAUUGAAGCCAUCUUGUAAUUUGGGUUGAGAGGAUAAUUUAUCCUCAUAUAGAUGGUGUGUCUAUCAGGAGAUGGUAUUUUUAAUGGUAUGUGUGAAUGUGAAGCUUGAUUGUUUGUAUGAUUGAAUUUGCUUGUUUUUGGUUGAGUAAGCAACUCAAGUAGCUCUUUAUUAUUGGUAAGUAUUAUAGAUUUCUUUCUUAUUCGUGCAAAUAAAACAUUUCUAUUUCUCAACUUAAAGGGUAGUUAAGAUUUUAUUAUUGAAUUGAAUGUUGAUUUUUUCUUGGAUUUUCAUCAAUUAAUUUUUAUGUUAUAUAUUUUUAAUUAAAUCUUUUUGAGAUUAUAUAUCUUAAUUUUAGCUUUUUAAUAAGCUAUUUCAUGUUUAUAUUAGAAUUAAUUUAAAUUUAUAGUAAGUUUUAGAUUAGAAAGAGAUUCACUCCCUUGACAAUUUCAUGUGCUCCAUGUUUGGAAAGGCAUUUCUUAGUGCUUGGUGACUAUUUAAUAUUAGAAAUUUCUAAGUACAAGUAUUUUAGAGUCAAGAUUGUAGUGGUACAAAAUCCAAUGCUAUUAAAUCAAAAUUGAAUUUUAGGCAAUCUUUGGAGUGGAAAGAGAUUGCUGUCUUAAAUAGAAUACAAUUGAAAUUAGUGAUUUCUAUCUCUUUGAUCAUUUACAUUAAUGAUUUUAUAUUAUAUUUUAAAUUCUAUAUUUUAAUUUUUUUAAAAUAUAUUAAAUCAUAAUAAUAAUAAAAAAAUAAAAAUAAAAUUAAAAAUAAAUAAUAAAUUAAAAUUAAAAUACUUAUAUAAUUUAUAAAAAUUAAGCUCAAUUAAUAUUUUAAUUUAUUUUAAAUUUUUAUUUUAACUUUUAUUUCAUUUUUAUUUUAUUUUAAAUUAUUUUAUCUUUUUCUUUAUUUUUUAUUUUACUUUCAUUUUAUUUUUGCACAUACUUUUAUUUCUAUAUCUACUUAAAUUUUUAUCUUUAUUUUUUUAUUAAAUUUUUACUAUUAAUUUAUUUUAAAAUAUUAUUUUUUUCUUUAUAUGUAUGAUAAGUUUCAUGUAUUGACAUAAGUUUAAUAUAUUUUUAUUUAUUUUUUAAUUCACUUCUUUUAAAAUAUUGCUACUUCUAACUUUAAGUAAUAUUUUAUUAGUCUAAUAUUAAUAUUAACAUUAUUUGGUGGUCUUCUUUAGAUUGGUUGCCAAUUCCAAAGCAUAAGAAUGGAGUUGAAGUACAACUUCAAAUAUAAAGAAUAAACUUGAUACAUUGACAUAUUAUAAUUUUUUAUGGUAUGUAAAAAUUAACUAAAAUAUAUAAUAUAUUUAUAAGUGUUGAUGCCCAUUAGAAUAGUUAGUAGGUUAAUUUAAAGAGAGUUGAUAUAAGAAAAUUUAUUUUGAGAUUUAUCCAUGUUAAUUAUAAUAUUUAAAUUAUUUAGGAUUUAGAUAUUUAGUAUAAAAUUUAAGGAGAAGAUUGGAACUCAAAGAUGAAGAUCCAAACCUCUAAGAAACUUAUUUAAAAGGGUGAAAAUAGGGUAUGCAUGGAUGAAGGCAAAAAGUGAAGAUCUUCACCCUUAUUGGUCAAAAUCCAUGCCUAAUAGGCUCUCAAGAGAUUGUCCACAAUUAUAACAAGGAUUUUGAUGACUUUAAAAUUAACAUUUGAAAAUCAAAAUCAAAGAUUAUAAGGUAUAGAAUUUGAGUUAUAAUUUGUACACAAAGUUUAGAGGAUUUGGAGUUAAUAUGAGAAAGUUAUAGCCAUUUGAAGUUAAAGUAUCUUUUUAAGACAUAUUGUUGCUCUUUUGAGGAUACGUAGAGUUUUUUGAUAGCUUUUGGAGAUCAAGAGGUGCAGCCACAAGGGUGAUUUCAAGACCUACAUCUUUUGCAUAAAUUUUUUUACAUUUGAAGUAUAUAUGAAAGAAUUAUAAAACAUUGAAGAUAGCACAUAUAAUUCAAAGGUAGUAAGUGAGUCAUUUUAUUGAUAGUAAUGGUUGGAGCCAUGUCUUAAGUUUUUACAAAAAAUUUUAACUCAAAAUUUCUAAAAAUUUGUAUUAUUUGGUUUAAAAGCUAAAUAUAAAAAUUUUAUGAUAUUUGAGUACUUAGUUUGUGAGAUAUAAAGAAAAUUAUACAUGAGUAUAUGUAAGUAAGGGUUUGAAGCUACUAUUAGGAUUUUGGCAAUAUCUCAAGAUUCAUAACGAAUUUGUAGUUGAAAUUUGUUUUAGUAGUUUUUGAAAGUACAUCACUACUUCAUGUAGUUUGUUUGGACAAUCUGAUUGUGAGAUAUGAAGUGUUGAAGUUUGGAAAAAAUUCACGUUGAUGAUAUAUAAGAUUUCAUAAUAUUUUUAUCACAUUUUGGAUGAUCUUUGGUACUUAGGACUUAUAUAUUGAUGUAAUUGUCUAUAUAGAAAUAAUUUUAUUUAUAAACUUGAUAUUUUUUUAAUCUUGAGACUUGGUUGAGUAAUUAGUGACAGCCAGAAGUCCAAUACUUUUUUAAGGCAAAUUCUUUUUAUUCCAACAAUGUAAAAAAAGAACACGGCUUGGCAAAAUUAGAUGGAUUUAAAAUUCAAAGUUCUCAAUUUUAUUUGAAAUUUUAGACAUGUAAAGAAGGAGUACAACUUGAAAAAAUUAGGUGGGUUCCAAACUUGAGUUUCUCAAUUUUAUUUGAAAUUUUAGAAAUACAAAGAAAGAGCAUGGCUUAACUAAAUUAGGUAGGUUUUAAACCUUAGCUCUUUAUUUUUAUUUCAAAUUUUAGAUACACUUUGAAAGAAGCACAAGGAAAUUUACUAUCCUAAAAAUAAUAUCUUAACUAAUCUAUUACCUUAUAAUGUAAUUGAAUAGUAAAAUAUUUAAUUAUACAUAGUAAGAAUUUUUCUAAUUUAAUUUUUUUUAUUAAAAAAAUAUGGAUGUAUUUAUGAUAUACUAUCAUUGAUCUUAUUUUCCAACCUAUAAAUUAUAAAUUAAGUCCAAGUAAUAAGUAACUCUGCCUUAUUAAAAUUGGCUCAAGAUCUUAACUUGGUAUUAAAUUAGACCUUGUGCAUCACUUAAACAAAAGGUUUAAUUAUUAGGUGAGACCACUAAUUUGAGAUCAGCACAAGAUUUCAGCUUAGUAUAUAAUUAAACCAUAUUCCUUACAAAUAAAUAAGAAAAAAAGAUUUCAUGUUAUUUCACAAAAUAAAGAUAAAAAUAAUUUAAAUUCUACUUAUUUUGUUUUAAACCACCUAUUAAGUCUUAUACCAUAAAGAAUUUAUUUAAAAACCAUACACUAAGUUGUAUGCCACCUAGAAUCAAACCUAAAGUAGUUUAUCUUCUUAUUGGCUUUGUUUUAUGGUCUAAAUGUAUUUUACAACUCGGAAUAGAUAUUAUACUUGUAGUUUUAAAAAUCCAUAUAUUAGAAGAGAUUGGUGAUAAAAUAUUCCAUACUUCUAUUAACACGGAGUAUAAUAGAGGGCAUAUUUUAGAGCCUCAAGUAGAAUCAUUACCAUUUCCAACUCUAAGAACUAAAACAACCUAUGGAGAUAAUUACAACUUCUAAACCUAUAGAAAAAAAUCAAUCUCAAUUGAAUAAUCUUUUUCAUCAAUUAAAAGAAGAAGGUCAUAAUUUUCUUUCAAAUCAAAAGAAUAAUGUGACACCUUAUUUUAUUCAUAGAAUAUUACAUUAAAUAAGUCAAUGUUGAAUUGAAAAUAAAAUUGUAUACUUUAAUUAUAGAAGUUCUCAUCCUAUGGAUCAUUGCAUCAAGGACAUGAAUCUCGAGGAAAGAAAAUCCUUAAUACACUCACGUAUUACUAAAAGGAACUAGAAAGUCACUCAAAGAUGAUAUAAUAUUGAAUUAGAAUGGCUAUUGUCAAAAAUAAGGAGACUAGAAAGUCUUGAAAUAAGACUAAGGACUAGAAAGGCAUUGGCAAGAGUGAAGAAGGCUUCAUUCUUGCCUCCAUAUAUACUCUUAACUAGGAGCUAUGUGGCAAUGUCCUAUAUGAACUCCAAAACAUGUUGACUAUGCUAGCCACAUGUUUUAACUUAUAAGGCAAGUUAUCUAUAUAUGCUCCAUAUAAUUAGCUUAUUCCAUAAGUUAUUACACGGAAUUAACUUGCCAUACAAGCUAUCAACACGUGAUUAACUUGUUGGCUAAGUUUCUAUCUUGUAAAUACAUCUAAAGUCAAAACCACAUUUAUGAAGCUUCUAGAAAGCUUCUUUAAAAGACUUUAUGAAAUUAAUCUAUAUUUAUUUACUUCUACCUAAUUAUAUAAAUAACUAUUGAAAUGAAUGUAUAUGUCCAUGACAUUACCUCCUUUUCUAGAGACGAGUUCCAUGAGGAGUAGUCUUCAUAUGUUGAGGAAGUCAUAGAUGCGGCAAAUUAUAUUUACGACAUAUUUUCAUCUUUUUUCUCUUUGAAGAUGGUUAAUAGGUCUUCUUAGCCAUCGGUAAUGUCGCAUACUAAGGCAAAAAGACCACCCUAUUAUUUGAUCAUUGUUUAGGCCUUCAUAACUUCUUUCAAAUAAAACAUUUGGAACAUGGUCAAGGGUUGUUCGUACCUCUAAUAAAAUCACCAAAUAGCAGGAGUCUCUUUCAAGGUCAUGAUAUCAAACACGUUGUAUCUCGCCAUCUAUUUGAGGAAAGACAUGUUGUUCUUGAGGAUCUUCAUCUCGAUUUUGUCAUCUUGAAGGUUGUGACAAUUGCAAUGUCUCAUUUCAUAAGUUCACAAAUAAUUUUUUUUGAGUUGAAUCUGUUAGUUAUUGAUUCUCUAUCUUUUUAGUAUCACAAAUAUACAUAAGCUACAAGGAAAGAUAGAAAGUAGAAUGUAAUCUUCUUUUGAUCUUAUUUCUUUUAUAGCAAAGAUUUACUAUUCUUCAACUUAAUUUUGAUGGAUUUCAUUGAUGAAAAGCUUCAACUUUCUUUGUUGUAUUUCCAAGAUUAUUUGAUGGCUUCCAUGUGCACUCAUUGAUAUCAUAUCCAUACUAAUGAAUAAGAUAUUUCCACCUAUUUUGGUGCUGCCUUGAGGCUAAGACUUCUUCCAUCUCAAACUCUUGAUUAUUAUCAACUUCUACAAGAGGAAGUGGUAUUUGUCUUCUUUCCAAAAUAUUCAUUGUCUUAUACAGCUCAAGAAGGGACAUGUAAAAUAUAGGGUGGAUCUUCAUAGACUCCGGUAGAUAUAAUUGAUAAGCAACAGGAUUGAUUUGUUUACAAAUAGAAAAAGGUCCUAACCUAUGAUAGUCCAACUUAUUACAAAGACAAGUAGUCUUAAUAUUGCAAUGAAGUAACCAUGCCUUGUUUCUUUUAUUGAAUUGUGGUUGCUCUUUGCGAUAGGCAUCUAUAUUGGUCUUUUGCUAUCUUUGAGCUUCUUUUAAUUGUAUCUUCAUUGUUGUAUGUAGCUUUGACAAAUAAUUUUCUAAAUCUUCUAUUGCAAGAUUAUCAACUUUUGAAAAGUCAAAAGUAUCAAGUCGUAGAUGAUAACCAUAAGAAAGGUAUUUGUUGAGUAGAAAAAUAUACUGAAUUAUUAUAUGUAAACUCUGCCAAAGGCAAAAGAAUUGUCCAAUUAUCUUGAUGAUAGUUGAUGGUAUACUUCAAAUAUUACUCCAAAAUUUGAUUCACUUGUUCCGUUUGCUCAUUAAUUUGAUGAUGAAAAGCCAAAAAAAGAUUUAUAUCUACCUUUAGAAUCUUAAAUAGGAUUUUUUAAAAUCUUGAUAUAAAUUGAGUUUCUUGAUCCAAUAUAAUAUUCUUUGGCAAUCCAUAAUAGCGAUAGAUAUUGUGGAUAAAAGGCUUAGUUGUUUCUUUACAUGAAAUAAAUUUUGAACAUGGUAUAAAAUGUGUCAUUUUGAUGAAGCAAUCUAUAAUUACAAAUAUAGAUUUAUAUAAACCUGAGAUUAGAAGAUCCAUGAUAAAAUCCAUAGAAACGAAAGACCAUGGUUGUUUUGGAAUUGGUAAUAGUUGAAGAAGUCCAUAAGGUCGACGGCAAGGAAUUUUGGAUCUUGAACAAGUAUCGCAUGAUUGUACAAAGUUUUUGACUGCCUUCCAUAUUUGAGGCCACUAAAAAUUUCUUAAUAUUAACUCCAAAGUGUUCAGCUGUUGAAAAAUCAUGAUGAGCUUUAUUGAAGAAAAGAAGUCUAAUAGCUACGAAUACUUAGCAUCAGCAAAGAUUAUAGUCUAAGAGAAGUAUGGAAAAAGAUAUCUCUUACUUCCAAUACCCUUUACUUAUAGGUGGAGUUUACAUCCCAAGCACAUAGACUUCAUCCAGAUUCAUGUUCAUCCUUUCAAUCUAAAUCUAGAUCUAAAUUUAUCUUAACUUAGCCACCACCUUAAAAUCCUAGCCACCGCUGUCGUAUUACAUGCUUUCCUGCUCGAGAAUGCGUCGGGCGUCUGGCUAUAGAAGGUAGUAUGGAGAUUCGCCGAUAGUCAAGCAGUCUAUCAGUUUUUGACUGUUGGAAUAUAAAUGACUACAAGAAUACACCGUAAAUCUAUACGGAUGCCCUUCGACUGCUCGCUGAAGCCCUUUUUGUCCCAGCCGGUAGGUCUCUAGAUGUUAUAGAGAACCCUGAACAAUCCAAACUGCUAAUCUUCGAUACUGCUUUAUAUUCACGAUCUUGUAUCCACUGACUGUCUUGUUAGAUUAACCCAAUAAAUUUCAUUCACUCCGCAUACUCAAUCCUAUAGACACCCUUUUAAUUCUUCAUUACAAACGUAACUCGAUUUCAUAAAACAGUCAAGAGUAAUCAAACCCACUUCAUUAAAAAUCCCGAUUCACCAUUACAACACUGACUUCAGCAACGAUUGCCUCAGUCUUCCCAAAACCCUAUGAAGAAAAAAAAACCCAAUUCUCUGUCUUUUUUCCCUGCCCGAAGCAUGAAGCUAGCUCUUUCUGAUCUUCAAAACCUCCCCAUAAAAAAAAAACCCUUUCUCUCCCCCCUCCUUUCUUAACCUUAAUUCUGAAUUUCUUCAAUCUUCCGUCUUAGAUCCAAAAUUGGCUCCAGCCGUCAGAGCUUAGAUCCAAAAUUGGCUCUCGCCAUCAAGGCUUAGAUCUAAAAUUGGCUCUCGUUGUCAGAGCUUUCUCCUCUGUUUUUACCUUUAAGAGAUCCAUUUACCAAAAACAACGUUCCCUGAAACGGCACAGAGAAUAGGACAGCCUGAAACAAAAUCGAAACCCCGUACUCGGGUCCACAUUGAGUCGCCCGACCAAUUCAGGUCUCAUAUUGGAUAAGAUGUCCGUAGUAACCUAGAUGUUUGCGUAAUUGGGUCAAAUUGGUCCUCGCGUCAGAUUGGCUAAGAGGUCCGUAGUAAGACCUAGAUGUUCCCGUAAUUGGAUCAAAUUGGUCCUUAGCGUCAGACUAGCUGAGGCCCGUAGUAAGACCUGGAUUUUUCCGUAAUUAGACUGCAUUGGGUUGCCCGGCCAAUUCAGGUCUCAUAUUGGAUAAGAAGACCCGGAUUGGAUUCUUGAAAUUGGAUCCAAUUGGCUCUUCGAACCAGGCUCACCCGUCGUAUGAAUUGGUCCUUUCUCUUCCUGUUGACUCCCGUUAUUGGAAUCGAAUGGAGCAUUUCAGUAUGCCCUGGCUGACUAUAACGGGGUGACUGAACUUGGCCACUCAGUAUUUGCACUGGAGUUGGUCGUUGCUCCCAAUAUUAGAGGUAACUGAACAUUAAUAAAAGUCCUCUUUCUUUAUAUUUUCAUAGUAUACUCGUGUUACAACAUGACACCGCUAUAAUAACUUCUUUUAAUCUUUUGGUACCUUUUGACUAUUAGCAACUUACUAUGCUUAAGUUUUAUAUAGUGUUAAUUAAGUAAGAACUUAUUGAUCUUUAAUACUCCGAUUUUGCUAAUUUUUAAAAGGCUUUUAACCCUAAUCUUUGAAUCAAGUCAUGAUGUCUAUCCUUCACUUAUGCUUUUAUAAGCAUAUUAGUAAGCAUGUCAUUUGUAGGAUAAUACUUCAUAUCUAUUAUUCCAUCUUCAAUCUUCUCUCGUAUAAAAUGAUGUUGAACAUCAAUGUGCUUGGUCCUUGAGUGGUAUUUUAGAUUCUUAACAAAUGCAAGACAUCCUUGAUUGUCACACAUAAUUAGAGUUGCUUCUAAUUGCACUAGAUCAAUGUCUUUUAAGAGUUGCCUUAUCCAACAUGCUUCUAUUGCAUAAUGAUUUGCUGCCAUAUACUCUGCCUCUAUUGUUGAUCUUGCAAUGGUAGGUUGUCUCUUGCAAUUCCAUGAAAUGGCUCCCACUCCAAUAAAGAAGAUAUAUCAUGUUGUGGAUCUUCUAUCAUUUGCAUCUUCAGUUCAAUCCGCAUCACAAUAACCUUGUAAAUCAAUGUUCUUACCACCAAGGUACAAUUUGAAGUCCUUUGUACCUUUUAAGUACCUCGAUAUCCUCUUUACCAUUUUCCAAUGCAUUGAUCCAACUUUAGACAUGUGUUGGCUUAUAACACUUAUUGCAUAUGUAAGAUCCACUCUUAUGGCCACCAUUGCAUACAUAAGAGAGCCUAUUGCUGAAUUGUAUGGAACACUUUGCAUCUCAUCUUCAACUUGUGCAAACUCCUCAUCCAUGAGCUUUAUCAACUUCAAAUUUACCUCUAGGGAUGUUCCAAUGAGCUUGCACUCCUCCAUGUUGAAUUUUUUCAAUAUUUCUUCAAUGUACUUAGUUUGGCUCAUUGUAAUGGUCUUGUUACCAUGAUCUCUUACAAAUUCCACUCCCAAGAAGUAGUGCAACUCUUCCAAAUCACUCAUCUCAUAUUCCUUCUCUAAUUUGGCCUUCAUCCAAUCCAUCUUUUUCAUAUUGUUAGCCAAGAUGAUCAAAUCAUCAACAUAAAGGAUUACAAUCAACAAAAAUUCUCUAGAUUGCAUUACAUACAAUGAAUGAUGAGCGUCACUCCUCACAAAUCCUUCAUUGAUAAAGAAGAUGUCAAUUCGUUGAUACCAUAUCCUUGGUGAUUGUUUCAAUCAAUACAAAGAUUUCUUCAAUUUUCACACAAGAUGUUCUUUGCCUUAUUGUACAAAUCCUUGAGGUUGGUCCAUGUAGAUGUCUUCUUGCAAUUUUCUAUUCAAAAAGGUCGUCUUCAUAUCUAUUUGGUGUAUUUCCAAAUCCAUUGUUGCCCCAAUUGCUACAAUGGUCCUAAUAGUGGUGAAUUUGGCAACGGGUACAUAAGUCUCAUUGAAAUCAAUUCAAACAACUUGUAAGUAUCCUUUGGCAAUUAGUCUUGCCUUGUGCCUCACCACCACACCCAUUGCAUCUCUUUUAGUCCUAAACACCCACUUAUAACCAACAGUAGAUCAAUUUGCUAGAAGAGGUGUCAAUUCCCAUGUACCAUUAUCCAUAAGAGAUUGGUACUCUUCUUCCAUAGCCUUGACUUAAUUGCAUCUUUAUACUUUAUAGCAUCACACAAAGAUAAUGGAUCAGGAAGAAGAGCAACAUUUGCAUGUUCUUCACUUACUUGAAGGAAGAUGUGAUUCUUUCACCAUUCGCCACAUUGUCUUCUUUCUCUCAAAAGAUAUCUCCUUUCACUUGUAGAAGAACAUUCACCUUCUUGUACUCCUUGUUCUUUUCCAACCAUCUUCUCUCUUAAACCUUGUCGUUUCUCACUCAAUGGUUGAUAUUCUUUAUCAUUAUCAUCAUUCCAAUCUUCAACAUUUUCAUUUCUUUCAUUGUUGGUCUUAGCAAUUGUAAGAGCCUUCAUCUUUUCAACCUUCUUUUCAUCUUUAUCAUCUUCAUUGUCUUCAUUUUCUUCUUUCUUUGGUGAAUUCAAAGAUGUGUCCACAAACACACCAUUACUCCCACUUGGACACAUCUUCAAGUGCUCACAAGUAUUCUUAUGCUUCAAAGACUUAAUAUCACGACUUUUGAUGAUUUUCUUGGUUUCCAAGCACAUUAGCCUAUAUGCCUUAGUACCUUCACAAUAAUCAACAAACACACACUUUGUAUCUUUUGCAUCAAGUUUGGACCUCAUAGAAUUGGGUAUUUUUGCAUAUGCAAUGCAACCAAAGAUCCUCAUAUGAGAAAUACAAGGUUAUCUCCUACUCCAAGCUUUUUGUGGUGUCAUUGAUGCAAGAGCACUUUUGGGACACCUUUUUCUUGUAUACACUGCAUUCACCACAGCUUUUGUCCAAAAUUCAUAGCCAAGAUUUUGAGCAUGAAGCAUGCUCCUUGCCAUCUCUACAAUAGUUCAAUUUGUCCUUUCAGCAACACCAUUUUGUUGUAGAGUGUAUGGAGUUGUGGUUUGUCUAAUAAUUCUUUCAUUCUUCAAAUAAACAACAAAUUACUUAGACAUGUAUUCACCUCCAUUGUCUGUACACAAUACCUUGAUCUUGCAUUCACUUUGUUUCUCAACAAGUAUUUUAAACUCCUUAAACGGCCAAAAACAUUCAUUCUUGGCUUUAAGAAUGUAGAUUCAAAUCUUUCUUGAAUAAUCAUCAAUAAAAGUAAGAAAAUACCUUGAUCCUCCAAUACUUGUGUUCUUCAUAGGUUCACAUACAUCCAAAUGGAUAAUCUCCAACAACUUGGUAGCACGUAUUGCUACACUCCUUGGAAAUAAGGCCCUUUGAUAUUUGCCUUGUAUGCAUCCUUCACAUGCAAGUUGUUUUAUAUUUUGGCUUGUAUUUCUAAGAUCUAAGCUACUUACCAUUGUCUUGAGCUCUCUCUUGCUCUUCACAUUUAAAUGGCUAAGGCGACGAUGCCAUAUAUUCAAUUUGUCUUGAUUUGAUGUCAACUCAGCAAAUGCGGCUACUUCCACUCUAUUCAUCUUCUUACAAAUAAGGUAGUAUAAAUUUCCUUCUUUCAAGCCUUUGAAGACCUUUUCUCUAUUCAAUGUUCUUACAAAACAUCCAUUCAUGUCAAAUUAAACUUUAAAACCUUCCAUUACAAGUUUACUCAUCGAAAGUAGGUUUUACUUCAUCUUAGGCACAUAAAGGACGUUUUUGAGUGUGAUCCUAUUGAUUUGUCCAUUCACAACCAUAUCCACUAUAAUAGAGCCAAUUCUAAUGUCUUCACAUAUACCACUAUCUGCCAAUACCACGUUUGAUGCUAGAAUAGCUUCAUAAUUAUCAAAUCAAUACUUAUAAGGUGUCAUAUGCUUGGAACAACUUAAAUCCACAAUCCAUCUUGACAUGGCAGCCAUAGAGGUUCCAUUUGUUGCCAUGAAUACAUAAUCUUGUCCUCCAAAUUCAUCUUACACACUAUUUGCAUUUUUCUUCUCCAUCUUUUUGCCUUUGUAGCAAUUUCGAACAAAAUGGCCUACUUUGCUAUAAAUGAAGCAAGACUUGAUAUUACCUCAUUGAUUUAGAUAGUUGCUCUUGCCUUGACAUGAAUAGAGUGUUGAAUCUUUACUUUUGAGCUCCUUUUCUUUCUUCUUGGUUAUUUCAUAGGCAAGUCUUGUCAUCACAUAGUCCAUUGUAAACUCUAAACCUGGUCAAAGGGGAGCAAAAAGAUGAAGGAAAGUUACUAAGGUGGUAGCUAGGGUUUAAAGUGGUGGCUAGGUUAAGAGGAAUCUAGGAUUUAGUUGGAUGAAAGUAAGAUGAAUGCUAGCCAAAAUGGAUAUAACUUUUACCUAUAAGUAAAGGGUGUUGGAAGUAAGAGGCAUGUCAUUCUACACUUCUCUUGUAUCUAACUUAGCUGAUUUCUACUUACUUCUGUCUUCCUUAUUGUGUUUCUUCAAUAAGUUAUGGGCCCACACACACUUUGUUGUGCUAUUCAAGUAAGUUGAAGUUAUUUGUUGGUUGUUGUUCUUGUGUGGAAUAGAUCUUAUAGUGUUUGCUGAUGUUAGAGAUUGUAUGAUCUAAUCUUAUGUUUUGACUUAUGGAAGUUCAAACUUGGGCCUUAUAGAUCUCUAACAUCAAUUUGAAGGUUCUUAACUCCUAGGAUUGAGUGAUUAAGACCUUAUACAAAGACCUUGAUAGUGACUUUGGUGUUAUGUGAGAAAAUAAAUUUUAUGAGUGAAAGAACUUGAUGGUGAGGUUGAUUGGAGUUUACAUACUUGUUAAAAGAUUUAACAGUUGUUUUUGAAGUGUUUGGAGUGAAAAAACAUUCAUUUGUUCACAAAAGGGCAUUCUGAGAUUUUGCUAGUGCAAAAUUAUUUUCGUGAUUUUAAGCACAUAGAGACUCUUUUUCUUGAUAUUUUUUGAUAGACUUCUUCUAAGAUAUGGCUUCAAGUGAAGGUGAAGGUUUGAGAGUGAUUGAGAAGUUUAGAGGUAACAAUUUCUACCAUUGGAAGGUCAAAAUGGAGCUUUUGUUGGUGUCUUUGGACCUAUGGGACAUUGUAGAUGAAAGUGAAGAGCCUCCAAGCAUGCAUGCUGAUGCUAAAGAGAGAAAGGACUUCUCAAGACGUGAAAAGAAGGCUUUUGGGAUGAUUGCCACCAAUUUGGAUGAAGUCAAGUUUUCUCACAUCAUCUCUUGCAAUGGACAAGCAGAAGCAUCGAAGACUCUUUACAAUAUAUAUGAGAGUAAGAACUUAUCCAAUAUCAUCUUCACAAGGAGGAAAUUCUUCACUUGCAAGAUGGAAGAAGAUGAAGAUCUCAUAGCUCAGGUCAAUAAAGUAAAGGCCCUUGCUAAUUAACUUGCAAUUGUUGACAAGCCUUUAGAAGAGAGUGAUAUUGUCAUGACCUUGCUUAUGAGCCUUCUCAAGUCCUAUAACUACCUCAUUGUGGCAUUGGAGUCCAUCAAUCUAAAAGAACUCACAAUGAAUUAAGUGAUGGCAGCACUUGCCCAUAAAGUGACCAAGAAGAAAGAAAAAGAGCUCCAAAGUGAGGAUUCGGAUCUCUUUUCAAGACAAGGCAAGGGGAGCCAUUUUAAUCAACGUGGCAAUGUGAGAACUUACUUCAUUUGUAGAAAACCAGGUCACUUUGCUGAAAAUUGCUACAAUGCUAAGAAAGAAGAUAAAGAAAGUACAAACAAUGCUCGUGAUGAAUAUGGAGGUGAUGAUUAUGCAUUCAUGGCAAGUGAAGGCACUUCUAUGGCUGCCAUAUCCAAGUGGAUCAUUGAUUCUCGUGCCACCAAGCACAUAACUCCAUACAAGUGUUCAUUUGACACUUAUGAAGAGAUUUCAAUAGCAAAUAUAUUUAUAGGAGACAAUGGCAUAGUACAAGCUAUUGAAAUGGGUUCCAUUGUUAUAGAGAUUGUUGUGAAAGGCCAAACCAAGAAAAUCAGAUUGAAGAAUGUCUUACAUGUACCAAAGAUGAAGAAAAACCUCCUCUCAGUGAGUAAACUUGUUUCACAUGGUUUUAAAGUACAAUUUGAUAAGAAUGGAUGUUUUGUGAAGACAUUCGAAGGAGAUCAUAUUGCAAAGGGCUUUAGAGAUGGCAACCUCUACUUCAUCAAGUGUAAGAAGGUAAAUGAAAUUGAAGUGGCAGCAUUUGCUGAAUUUCUUUAAGAUCAAGACAAGUUUGGUAUUUGGCAUCAACGCCUUAGUCAUUUGAAUGCCAAGAGCAUGAAGGAGCUCUAAUCCAUAGUAAGUGGCUAAGAUCUUGGUCAUAUAAGCCACAAUACUAUGAUACUUGCUUGUGAAGGUUGUAUUCAAGGCAAACAACAAAGGGCCUCAUUUCCAAGUGGAGUUGCAACACAAGCAACCAAGUUAUUGGAGAUUGUCUAUUCUGAUGUUUGUGGAACUAUGACGGUACCAUCAAUAGGAGAUACAAGAUAUUUUAUCACAUUCAUUGAUGAUUUUUCAUGAAAGAUUUGGAUUUUCAUCCUUAAAGCAAAGAGUGAGUGUUUCACAAGGUUUAAGGAGUUUAAAGUAUUUAUGGAGAAGCAAUGUGAAUGCAAAAUCAAGAUAUUGCAUACGGACAAUGGAAGUGAGUAUAUGUCAAAGUAAUUCAUUGAUUUCUUGAAGAUGCAUGGUAUUACAAGACAAACCUCUACUCCUUAUACUCCACAAUAAAAUGGAGUUGCUGAAAGAGCAAAUCGGACCAUUGUGGAGAUAGCAAGGAGUAUGUUUCAUGCACAAUAUCUUGGACAUGAGUUUUGGACGGAAGCAGUGGUGAAUGCAGUGUACAUAAGAAAUAGGUGUCCUAUAAGUGCACUUACAUCAAUGAUGCUGAAAGAAGCUUAGAGUGGGAGAAAACCUUAUAUUUCUCACAUAAGGACCUUGGGAUGCAUAGCAUAUGCAAAGAUACCAAAUUGUAUGAUAUCAAAAUUUGAUUCAAACGGUACAAAAUGUGUAUUUGUUGGAUAUUUUGAAGGUACAAAGGCUUAUAGGUUCAUGUGUUUGGAGACUAAAAAGAUCAUGAAAAGUCGUGAUGUUCAAUUUUUGGUGCACAAGAGUACUUGUGAGUACUUGGAAAUGUGUCCAAGUGGGAGUAAUGGUGUGUUUGUGGACACAUCUUCAAAUUCAACAAAGAAGGAAGAAGACAAAGACAAUGAUGGUUGUAAAGGUGGAAAAGAAGAUGAAGAGAUAAAGAAGGUGGACAAGAAGGCCUCUACAAUUGCUAAGACCAGCAAUGAAGAGCAUAAAGAUGUUGAUGAUGAUGGUGAUGAGGAUUAUGAACCUUUGAAUGAGAAAAGACUAUCUUCAAAAGAAAAGAAGGUUGGAGGUGACCAUGGGGUGCAACAAGUUGAGUCUUCUUCAAAUGAAAGGAGAUAUCUUUGGAGAGAUAGAAAACAACAUGGUGAAUGGUGGAAGGACCACAUUUUUCUUCAAGUAAGUAAAAAACAAGCCAAUGUUAUACUUCUUCUUAAUCCGUUGAGUUUAUAUGAUGCAAUGAAGUCCAUGGAUGCUAUGAAGUAGGAGAAUGCUAAGGAAGAAGAAUAUAAAUCACUCAUGGAUAAUGGAAUAUGGGAAUUGACUCAACUUCCACCAAAUUGAGCUUCAAUUAAUUAUAAGUGGGUGUUUAGAAUAAAGAGGGAUGUAAUAGGCAAUGUUGUGAGGUAUAAGGCAAGAUUGGUUGUCAAAGGCUACUCAUAAGUUGCUGAUCUUGAUUUCAAUGAGACAUUUGCUCUCGUGGCCAAAUUCACCACCAUUAGAACUAUUGUGGAGAUUGGAGAUGCACCAAAUAGAUGUGAAGAUAGCUUUCUUGAAUGGAGAAUUAGAAGAAGACAUCUACAUGGAUCAACUUCAAGGAUUUGUUGAAGAUGGCAAAGAACACCUUGUAAGUAAGUUGAAGAAAACCUUGUAUAGGCUCAAGCAAUCAUCAAGGGCAUGGUACCAAUGUAUUGACACCUUCUUUGUGAAUGAGAGAUUUAUGAGGAUUGAGGCUAAUCAUUCUAUGUAUGUAAUGCAAUCAAAAGCCUUCUUGCUAAUUGUUAUUCUUUAUAUUGAUGAUUUAAUCAUCUUGACCAAUACUUUAAAAAAGAUGGAUUGGUUGAAAGUAAAGUUAGCAAAAAAAUUUGAAAUGAGUGAUUUGAAAGAGCUCCACUAUUGCUUAGGAAUAGAGUUUGUGAGAGAUCCAGCUAAGAAGAUCAUUACAUUGAGCCAAAAAAAGUACAUUAAAGAAGUGUUGAAACGGUUCAACAUGGAGGAGUGCAAGUUUGUUAAAACACCUUUGGAGGCAAAUUUGAAGUUGAUGAAGCUCACAUAUGAGGAAUUUACUGAAGUUGAAGAAGAAAUGAAAGAUGUUCCAUACAAGGUAGCAGUAGGCUCACUUAUAUAUGCAAUGGUUGGUACAAGGGUGGAUCUUACAUAUGCGAUGAGUGUUGUGAGUCAAUACAUAUCAAAGGCUGGACCAAUUCAUUGGGUAACCAUUAAAAAGAUCUUGAGGUACUUAAAAGGUACUUUGAACUUCAAAUUGUGCCUUGGAGGUGAUAGUAUUACAUUGCAUGGAUAUUCUGAUGUAGAUUGGGUUGGAGAUGCAAAUAAUAGAAGAUCAACAAUAGGAUAUGUAUUCUUUGUUGGAGUGGGAACAAUUUCAUGGAAUUGCAAGAGACAACCAACAAUUACAAGGUCUAGAAUGGAGGCAGAAUACAUGGCAGUAAAUCAUGGUGCAAUGGAGGCAAUAUGGCUAAGACAAGUUUUAGAAGACAUUGGGCUUGUGCAAGUAGAAGCAAUUCCAAUGAAGUGUAACAAUCAAGGAUGCCUUACUUUUGCCAAGAAUCCAAAGUAUCAUUCAAGGACAAAGCACAUUGACAUUCAACAUCACUUCAUACAGGAGAAGAUUAAGAUGGAAGUGAUUGACAUGAAGUAUUAAGCAAUAGAAGACAUGCUUGUUGAUUUGCUUACAAAAGCAUUGGUGAAAGUUAGACAUUACAAAUUGACAAAGAAAUUAGGUUUAUUAACCUUUGAUCAAUAGCGAAGUGGAAGUAUUAAAAUAAAUGGAGGAUAAGUUAGAAGGUAAAAGAUAUUAUCUUAGAUAAGUUGUUAAUAGUCAAAGGAGAGCAAAAAGAUGAAGAAAAGUUAUCAAGGUGGUGGCUAGGGUUUAAAGUGGUAGCUAGAUUAAGAGGAAUCUAGGAUUUAGUUGGAUGAAAGUAAGAUGAACACUAGCAAAAAUGGAUGUAACCUCUUCUUAUAAGUAAAAGGUGUUAGAAGUGAGAGGCAUCUCAUUCCACACUUUUCUUAAGUUUAAUCUUGUUGAUUUCUACUUACUUCUAUCUUGCUUAUUGUAUUUCUUUAAUAAUCUAGAUCUAAAUUCAUCUUAAACUAGCUGCCACCUUAAAAUCCUAGCCACUGCUAUAGUAAAUUUUUUUAAUCCCUUGGUACCUUUUGACUAUUAGUGACUUAUUAUGCUUAAUCUUUAUGAGGUAGUAACUAAAUAAGAACUUGCUGAUCUUCAAUAAGCUUGAAGGACGCAUAAUUGUGCCUUGCCUUCUGAAAUAUAUAAGCAAUCUUCAAAAUAUAAUAGGUUAUUCUUAAAUUCAAACUUUGUAGUGUCAUAGGACUUAGAAGAAGUAUUUUUGAUAUCAUGAACUAGAGGAUCAGAUGACAUACUUGAUUGAAUUUGCUUGACAAAAGUUGAAUCAUCAAUCAAUAGCUGAUUUAUUGCUUGAAGAUGAAAAUAUUUAGGCUUCAAGAGAAUCAUUCUUUGUUGAUCAAAAGAUGCAUCUCUUUUUUUUGGUACCAAAUAAGAACGUCUAAAAAGGGCAUCUAAUAGACCUUAUUAUUUUUCAGGUCAGUAAGUGAUCUUGAAAUUGAACUUGGAUAAAGACAUACUCCAACGGGCUUGAUGAUGAUUCAAAACACGUGUUGACAUGAAAUACUUGAAGUUCUUAUAAUCCGUAUAUAUGGUGACUAGACUUGAGACGCUUUCUAGAUAAUGAUGCCAUUCUUCAAAUGAAUCCAUGAUUGGAAUGACCUCUUUGUUAUGGAUCUCAUAAUUAAUCUUUGCUACUGAAAAUUUCUUGGAAUGAAAAGCUAUUAGGUGGAGUUUGUCAUUUGUUUCCAUUUAUGACUACAUGGCACUCAUAGCAAAGUCUAACACGUCUGUUUCCAUAAAAAAAUAGCUUGAAAAAGUCGACGCAAUGCAAGAAGGCCAAGAAGAAAGAAGGAAGAAGAUGAAGAGGGACAAGGAGAAGAAGAAAAAAAAGGAGAAGAAAAUAAUUAGAAGUAAAUUUAUUGUGAUGGAUUUGUCAAAUUGUUGGUUCUUAAUGAUCUAGAACUUAGAUUUGGGUAUAUGAAUAGUCAAACUUGAUGUUUAAAUAUGUUUUAAACACAUUGGUGGAGUUAGUUUUGUCGAAAAACGCUUCAAAUUGGGGAUUUUGGGCAUGUCUAGCACUAAAAUCGGGUUUAGGACUUAGGGUUAAUGUGGGCCCUUGAUCUUGAUUAGGGUUGGUGGAUUCGGAUGGUGGAGAUGUGGCCGCCACCCUUUGGUCUCUUCCUACUUGGAUAAGAGGGUGGGGGUGGCCACACUCGCUCUCUCUCUCUUUUUUUUUUUUUUGGGGGCGAAGCCAUGCCAAAUUGCAUCCCCACGUACCCUUGUUUCUAUAGAGCUGCAAUUGCGCAGCUGUAGUGUAUUAGUUAUCUGGAAAUAGAACGUCAAACUUUACCAAUAGUUAGAUCUUGUCGUUAGCUUCCUCGGGACAGUAGGCACGCUUUGUUUGGAGAGAAAACAAGAAAGUUGUGGUGGUUUUAGUGACAAGGAGGUCAGCUGCCGGCCAGAUCUGGAGGUCCGACUUUGGAAGGCAAGUGUUGGCGGACAGUAUUGAAUUUGGAGCUGAAACUUUUGUGGGGGAUGGUUCUUGUUGUCAGCUUUGCAAGGACUAUUUUCACGCUUAGAUUGAGUAAAGGCCAAGGAAGUUAUGGUGGUUGGAGUGAAGAGGAGUCGGCCGUGGUGAAGAUGUAGCACUCCGCCAACUCAAGCUACUUUGGAAGGUCAUAUCUUGGAAUUCACUCAAGAUUUUCAAGAAAAAAUUGUUGGAGGUGAUGCGGCUUCAAUUCUAGUUUCUGGAAUGCUAAAGCAUAUGCGUUGCACAACUGGAAUGGAGCAAGGGCAAGGGUUUUUGUGGCCAGGGGUGCUCUGACUAAGCCGAGAAAGUUAGGCAACUUUGAGGCAAGAUUUCUCUUAGCUUAAUUGUUGUUUUGCAUUGAAUUUUGUUGGAGGACAAGCGCUUGUAAGUCUACUUUCUAAAAUAGCAAAGCUUGUUAUAAACAAGUUAGUGAUGCAACCAUUGUAGUGGAAUUCGUGCAAGGGGGUCGCUACCAUGACUUGGAAGGUGGCGACUUCUAAUUUUCUUUAAUUUUUAGGAUGAAUCUUGGAUGAAUUAGGUCAAUUGCACGAAUUGUCAGUUGGAUGAUAAGUUGACUUAUGGUUGGAUGAAUGAAUCUUUAGAUGAAAAUUGGAUGAACAAACUUUGAAUGAAUGAAUGUUAUAGGAUGAAUGAGAUUUAAGGAAUAGAUGAUUGAUGAAGGGAAAUUUAGGAUGAAUGAACUUAGGGUUUAUGGAUGAACUUAGGGUUUAUGGAUGAACUUAGGGUUUCUAGAUGAACUUAGGGUUUCUAGAUGAACUUAGGGUUUCUAGAUGAACUUAGGGUUUUUGGAUGAACUUAGGGUUUAUGGAUGAACUUAGGGUUUAUGGAUGAACUUAGGAUUUAUGGAUGAACUUAGGAUUUAUGAAUGAACUUAGGGUUUAUAAAAAUUGCGUGUGAGUGAAGUUAAUCCACUUGACUACUAAACGCAAUUAUGGGUGGAGGAAUUUAGCUCACAUAAAUGGUGCGUUUGCCGAGAGCCGAUCUUAGAGACGUUGUCUAACAAUUUUUUUUUUUUUUUUUUUUUUUUUUUUGAGUUGAGAUGAUUGAUUACAUGGAGGAAGGAGAUAAUAGGAGCAAGAUGAUGGAGUCGUGAUUGGAAGGAGCACAGCAGAAGGUAUGUGGGUCCUGGGGAUAUCUAUGGUAGUUUGUGCUAGAAACCUUAGCAUGUGAUCGAGAGGCCGGUGGUAUACUAAUUGUGCAGGAAGCUGGAAUUGCAUGAGGUAAGCCAUCAUACAUUGAAUGAUCUAUGUUCACUUAGGAUUGUAAUUCGUCGUUGUCGUUGCCUUGUUAGUGGGUAAUGCCUCGGCAGUGAGCUGAUUUGAGAACGAGGGGGGUUCCGACCGCGAAGGCAGAAUCACAGUGUCUCAUUUACUGACCGGGUAAGCCCCACAACAUAGGUUGUACCGUAUGCCAAGAUUGGACUAGCGGGCUGAUUUACCUUGGUGAAUUCCAUGUCAUCGCUCGUAAAUACUAUCUUGGUGGUUUGCGUUCCCUACCCACCUGAGGGUAGGCUAGAUUAUUAAUUAUCAAUUUAAAAAUUUCAAAAAAAAAAAAAAAAAAAAAAAUGGGUUGGUAGGUAAUGAGAGAAGGUCAGUGAGGACGUUUAGAUGUUUUCGAAAACUGGAUCUCAAAAACCUACUUUGAACCAAGGACUUGAACGUAUUGGAAGACGUUGGGGUAAGGUCGUGGAUAACAAGGAAGCAGCCCCUUCUCGGAAUACACUCAUUAAUAGUAGAAGCAAUGAAGAAUUUCUUGGAGGAGAGAUUAGAAGGAAUUUAGAAAAGCCUUUAGGAGAUGUCGGGGGCAGCGAGCUAUUGGAGGAGUUGGAAGUGGAGGAGUUAGAGAUAGAACACGUAGACCCUGAAGACAGAGUGUUUGGAGACGUGAAUCUUAGGGAAAUAGGAGAACAGGAUAGGACCUUGGACUUUGUGCCUGCGGUCGAAGGAUUUGUUCACGAGAUGGUGAUGGAGCGGCUUCCAGCUUUGGAUUCCUUAGUUAGGCCACGAGGUUUGCCCGUGGCUAUGCCAGCAGGGCUAUUAGCGGCCACAGUUCCAAGGAAUCUCCCCAAGUUCUAUGGUACCAAGGACGAGGAUCCAACCCUACACAUGGAAAGUUACAUAGAGAUUUUGACAACAUCCCUCAUUGGAAACGAGGGGUAUUACUUGGUUUGGUUCCCCGGAACCUUACACGGUGUCAUAUUAUGUACUUUCCUGCUCGAGAACGCGCCGGGCGUCUGGCUGUAGAAGGUAGUAUGGAGAUUCACCUAUAGUCAAGCAGUCUAUCAGUUUUUGACUGCUGGAAUAUAAACGACUGCAACAAUGUACCGUAAAUCUAUACGGAUGCUCUUCGACUACUUGUCGAAGUCUUUUUUUUUUUUUUUUGCCCCAGCCGGUAGGUCUCUAAACGUUACAGAGAACCCCGAACAACCCAAACUGUUAAUCUUCAAUAUCCCUUUGUACUUACGAUCUUGUAUCCACUGACUGUCUCGUUAGAUUAACCCAAUAAAUUUCAUUCACUCCGCAUACUCAAUCCUAUAGACACCCUUUUAAUCCUUCAAUCACAGACGUAACUCGAUUUUUCAAAACAGUCAAGAGUAUUCAAACCCACUUCAUUUAAAAAUCCCGAUUCACCAUUACAACACUGACUUUAGCAGCGAUUGCCUCAGUCUUCCCAAAACUCUACGAAGAAGAAAAAUCCAAAUUCUAUGUCUUUCCUUCCCCGACCCGAAGCAUGAAGCUCCUCUCUCUAAUUCCCUUGAUCUUCAAAAAACCUCCAAUGAAACCCGAACUGGUAACCUUGCAAAAGCUUGAAAACUCGCUCCCCCCCCCCGAUUCCCCAAAAAAAAACCCCCCCUUUCAAAACUAUAUCCCCCCUAACCUUAUCCUCUGAAUUUCUUCAAUCUUCCAUCUUAGAUCCGGAAUUGGCUCCCACCUCAAGCUUGGAUCCGAAAUUGGCUCUCGUCGUCAGAGCUUUCUCCUCCGUUUUUACCUUUAAGAAAUCCAUUUACCGAAAACAACGUUCCCUGAAACGGCACAGAGAACAGGACAGCCUGAAACAGAAUCGAACCCCGUAAUCGGGACCACAUUGAGUCGCCCGACCAAUUCAGGUCCUAUAUUGGAAAAGAUGCCCGUAAUAACUUGGAUGUUCCCGUAAUUGGGUCAAAUUGGUCCUCGCGUCAGAUUGCCUAAGACCCGUAGUAAGACCUGGAUUUCUCGAAAUUAGACUGCAUUGCAUUGAGCGGCCAAUUCAGGUCUCAUAUUGGAUAAGAGGACCCGGAUUGGAUUAUCGAAAUUGGAUCCAAUUCGCUCCUCGAACCCGUCGUGUGAAUUGGUCCUUCUCUUCUUGCUGACUCCCGUUAUUGGAAUCGAAUGGAGCAUUUUAGUAUGCCCCGGCUGACUGUAACGGAGUGACUGAACCUGACCACUCAGUAUUUGUACUGGAGUUGGUCGAUGCUCCCAAUAUUCGAGGUAACUGAAUAUUAAGAAAAUUCCCCUUUCUUUUUAUUUUCACUGUAUACUCGUGUUACGAUACGACAUCCACCCCCUCUGAACUUGUGCAUCCUCCGGUAUGCACCAAUUUACCCAAUUGCUGUUUGAUUCAGAAUAUAUCCCCUACGUCUUUGUUCAGUUCGUCUUCGUCACCUUCAUUAUCCAAAUCACUUUCAUCUUCUUGCUGCGGAAUCUCUGUACCUUCAUUAAGGUCUUCCAUAUUCAUCUCUGCGUGUCUUCGUUUAAAUAUUUUUACUCGCUUCCCUGCAAUUGGUAUUUUCAAUUUUGUACCAUCUAACUCCCGUAAUGAGUAAGUCGCAUUAUCAGGAACAGUUGUUACAACAUAUGGUCCAAACCAACGUUUUGAAAAUUUCCGCAAAGUACUAUGUUGAUUAUCCAGACUAUUGUCAUAAACAAGUACCCAGUCACCUUCCUCGAUUGCUUUUGGUCUCAAUCGAUGUUGCUUAUCAAAUCGCGCCUUGUUUUGUAACCUUGCUCUUUUUAACCUUUCCAAUGUUAUUUGGACAUCUUCCGUUCUUUGCUCCAAUUGUCGAAUCCUAAUAGCCAGAAGUUCUUCUCUUGUCAAUCCAUCUUCCCAUGGUAGCAUACUCCAAGUAAGUACCUUUUCUUCAAUCGACAUAAUUGGUUUUUGACCUGUCAUAAGUUCUACUGGCAUAUAUCCUGUCACCGAACUAUGUGUUGUUUGAUCAGCCCAUAAUGCAAAUGACAAAAGCCGUGGCCACUCUUUAACUUUCCCAUUACAAGCUUUAACCAAUACUUUCACAAUCGGCGGGUGACCGCGUUCGCUUUUCGUAUUCCCUUCCGGAUUAUAAGCAGUAGUCAGUGAUAGUUUAACUCCGCAUUUUUCAAAGAACUUACGAGCUUCUUGUGCAUUUAAUUCUCCACGAUCUGCAGUGAUUUUUCCUACGCACCCGUAACGGCAAAUGACAUCUUCAAGCAAAAACCUACAAAUCCCCUCUGUAGAUUUUGUCCUCAAUGCAAUUUCUUCUACUUGAUUUGAUAAAUCUUCACGAGCUAAAACCAAAUAUCUCAUCUGCCAUAAACCAACCGGCAUAAUAACCAAAUCAACAACCUAUUUAAAAUGAAUAGCCAGAGGAUACGUAGGAUGAAGACCAUCUCGAUGUCGGAUAUUAGAAUACGAUUGACAGAUUUCACAUGACUCUACAAAUGAGAGCACAUCUCGAUACAUAUUUUUCCACCAAUAUCGUUCCUUGAGUUUAGCAAAAGUAGCCCAGAUUCCUCUAUGCCCUGCCCAUAAACUAUCAUGAAACUCCUUUAAUAAUUUUAGUUUUUCUUCCCUUUUGCCUAUCACUCGUUGUGGCAUCCCAAUUCCUUUCUUCGGUCUCUUCCAUAAGAAUCCAUCUCGAAGUAAAAAUCCAUAUGCUUUUUUUCUUAUUUGUUUGAAUUUUUCUGUAGACCAAUUCCCGUGCUUAGACAAGGUAUUCAAAUAAUGACCAAUAUCCAAUAAUUCUCCUUCAUAAGAUUCUUCAAGAAAUAGCUUGUCUUCUCUGUUGAGAUUUGAUAUUGAAUAGAAUUUCAAUCCGACAUCAUCAAUGUCUUCAACCAUUUCGUCCUCCCUCUCGUAUCUUGCUCGAGAUAGCAUGUCUGCUACUAAAUUGUCCUUUCCAGUGAUAUGCUUAAAUUCUGGAUUUAGUGACUUAAUAUAAGCAAUCCAUCUCAACAUUGCAAUAUCUGGCGUUGAACAGUUAAUAAUCAUUCCAAGCAAUGGCAAGCAAUUUGUUUCAAUUACUACUACUGCCCCAAUCAAAUAGUCCUUUUCAGCUUUCAUAGCCGAAACGACUCCCCAAAGUUCUCUUUUGACUUGCGAAUAUGCACGCUGACGAAUACUUAAAACUUUAGCCCCAAAUCGAACUGCAAAUCUAUUUCUAUUUGAAUCAUCUUGACCCACAGCCCAUCCAACGGCAAUUGGACUAGCGUCUACAGUAAGAAUCACUGAUCUAUUGCACUUAUAAUCAACCUUCCUCAAUAUUGGAGGUGACAUCAAUAAUUUCUUCAAGCUUUGCAUUGCCUGAAUAUGCCUUUCUUUCCAUUCAAAUCGGUAACCCUUGCGUAACAGUUCAUAUAAUGGAUCCGCUAUGUGAGCAAAAUGAGGGAUCCAGAUUCGAUAAAAUACACAUGCACCCAAAAACCUGCGAACCUCUGUUAAAGAACCACAAUCCUCUUUCAUCCUUCCAAUUGCAUCAACUUUAGUCGGAUCUGGUUUUCUUCCGUAAGAUCCGCAUAAAUGUCCAACAAUUACAACCUCUCGUACUCCAAAUACGGACUUCAUACCCGAUAAUGUAAGAUGAACUUCUCCAAGCCAAGUUAAAAUCUUUUCACAAUCUUGUAUAUGAUCAACAACAUAUCUGCGACACUCCCUCGUAUCUAAAGUUUCAUCCUUGUCUCCUUCUCUGCACCCUUUUAUAGGAACAUCAUCCAGAAAAGGCAUAGUCUUUUCUGGAAUAAAAUCUCUCAAUACCUUAUUCAUCCCAUUCAUCAUAUGCGUAACUGAGUUGGUCGCCCCUUGAAGAAGAGUGCACAUUCUAACCAAUCCAAGCGGUGUCCUCAUCGUUGUCAUAUCUCUACUUCCUUCGGCAAGUUGAAAUUGAUCAUAACCUGAAUACAAAUCACCCAUUGAAUAGAUCGCCCUUCCAGCAAACGCCUCAGCAAAUUCAUCCACAAUAGGUCCAAUUCCUGCAUUCCUGACAGUUACAGCAUUCACCGGCUGCAUAUCUUGAAUAAACCGUAGUGACCCAUUCUUCUUAGGUACCGUAAACCAUCGACUAGAAUACGGCGCAAAUGAAGGUUCUAAUAUUUUCAUCUUUAUCUUUUCUUUCAAUAGUUCCACCAAUUUAGGUAAAUGUGCCCUCGGUACUGGAAUCGGUCUUAGAUUCCAAGGUACAUGCGGUACAGUGAAGAUAACCAUAGGUGUUAUAAUAUUUGGAUCCACACACCUAAUUUCAUGAGAUUCGAAGGCAAACGAUCUACCUUGUUUAGCCAACAUCUUUUUGAAGCAAGUAAUUUCCUCCGACAAUAAAGAACCAUCAGAACCAAUCUUCAAUUCUUCAAAAGUCUCUUCAGUAAACUGAUGUCCAAUACUCAUUGGAUCUCUUAAACUUGCUUCUUUUGAUGCUUCUCCCAUUUGUUCUUUAGAAUCCUCUGGUAAUGGUCCGGCAACAGGCUUUACCUUCUUAUCUGCCGUUUUAUAUCUCAUCUCUACUGUGACUUCUGGUGCUUGAAAAGAUUCAAGCAUGGUAUAAACCUCUUUCGAAUGAAUCUCAACAAUCUUACCAUUAUCCCCUAAUCCAAUAGAUGUAAUCAAUUCCAAUGAAUCUUCCAGCCCAUUUUCUUCAUAAACACCCAAAAUCCUCUCAUCAUCUUGCAAUGUACCUAUCUUGCGUAACUAUCCUUCAAUAUCAUAUAAUCUUUUUCUUUCUUUUCUUUUAAAAUCAUCAACUUUCUUAUACAUAAUAUUUCCAUUCUCCAAUAUACCAAUAAAACUCGCAUCAAAGGCACCUUCAUCUCGUGAGAGUACCUCCUCUUUUGUACCUCCAUAAUCUUGCUUUACAGUGGUACCUCCCCAAAAUCCUUAAAUCCUUCAACAAUCUUUGGCAAUGGUUUCUCCCUCAACCUAUCUCGAUUCCGUUCAUGGUUAGGAGGUACUGUUAGAAAUUGUACAGCUUUCCUCCCAUCUUCGCUCCGUACCCUUGCAUAAGCAGAACCAUCGUCAAGUACCUUUGUUUCCAUCCGUGUUGCCGUAAUAUAAGGUUGUCCUAAAAUCAACGGAUAAGACGUUGUAUCUUGAACGAAGAAAUGUUGCUCCGUCGCAACAUCUCCAAUCCGAAUUUUGACAUCUGGACAAGCUCCAUAUAAUUCGCCUCGUGUGUUAUUAGCUGCUCGUAUUGCCUAUCCAUGUUCUAUAUCAAUUGGCCAUUUUUGCUUCUUAUAAAGAUUUUUAGACAUGAGAUUUAUUUCAGAACCAUGGUCCACCAAAGCAACUAUUGGUUCUUCUAUAUCUCCUACCUUCACCAAUACCUGAGUAGUUGCCCUUGCCCAAUGCUUUCGAGUAUAAUGGCUCAAAGUUUCCAUUUCCUUGUCACUGAAAUCUUCGAAACGUACUCGCUGAUUAUACCCAUUCUUUUCAUUUGUUGGUUGCUUGUAACCAAUAUCAACCUCUUCUUCAUCUCUACAUAUUCUUGCAUCAAUAGCAUGACUCAUUCCAGUUUUGCUCAUUAAUUGCCUCUUUCGCUUAAUGCUGUCAAUGAUAACAUCAUGAAACUCCUUCUUUGCAAUUCCCAAGACUUCUUUCAAUGUGAAUUCCACCUUAGCGUUUAAUAUACGUUCUUCCAACACCCCUUUCAAAUUUGUUGCCGCUUCAAUGUCAGAAAGUAGCUUAUAAGCAAUUGAUUUGCCCUUAUCUUUUGUCUCCGUUGUUUUUUCUCCCAAUGAUGCUGAGGUAUCUUUUACGGGCAAUUCUUUUGAAGCUGCCUCCCGAGCCUUGUCUCCUCGAGUUUGCCUCUUAAAAGAAUUUCCUUCUCUAGUAUCAUCAAAAUUUCCUCGUCUUUUUUCUUCCAUCAAAGCUUCAUGUUGGCUCUUAGCAAUAUAUGCAUGAACUGAAAGAGACUAAACAGGAUCCUCCCAACCUGUUCUUCCUCGUAUUGUAGCUGCAGUUCUCAAUAACGCCUCUCGAGGUAAUUUCCCUUCUUGCAUUGUAGAAAUGGCAGAAGCCCAAAACUCACUAGUUUCCGUACUUCCACCAAUUUCAUCAUCUACUCUAGCACCAUAACUUGCACUUUCUCGUACUACUGUUUCAUGCUCUUUUAAGUAAUCUUGAACCAAUGCUCUCAUUCCUCCCUUGCCAAAAUUGGUUUGAAGAAGAUCCUCCCUAUCUUUCAAUGCUAUCUUCCCAUCUUUCCAACAAAUAAUUCCCUGCCGUAUCAUAUUAUUAAAUUCAUUGCAAUCUUUUCUAGUGUGUGAAGCAUCAUCACACCAAAUGCAUCUUUGUACAUAUCCUUGUUUUGAAACAUUCUUCGAAUUGUUUAUAGAAGUAUUCUCUUCAAGUCUUGCCAAUUUGAUUUGAAGAUCUCGCAUUCCUCGUAUAAUUUCUUCCAUAUCCAUAUCUGCUUUCUUUGACAAGGAUGUUGAAGGUUGAACUGUAGGCAUUGUCGGUGGUGUUGUAUGUACUGGAGCUUUGGGUGCUUGUACUGUUUUCGGAAUAUUGCUCCUAUCCUUCCUCCUUUCUUUUUUUGUAAGCAACCCCACCGCAUCUUCAACGUUCUUCCACUUCGUUGUCAAUCCUUCAUCUUCUUCUUUGUCUUCAAGAAGGGGUUCUAAUUUCUCUUGCAAUUCUCCAUCAGCAGCUUGAAGAAAUAGAUCAACUUUGUUCGGCUUCAAUGUCAAUUUUUCUACCUUCGAUAAUUGAGAGUACUGCCUUUCAAAUUCCCUUAGUAGCUCUGUUGCUUGCAAAUUCUUAUUGGGCCGUUCAAUCCAUCCCAAAAAUAGCUUCUUAGUAACGCGAUCAGCAUCUUCCAAGAAAUAUUCGUCUUUCAAUGCAUGUGAAAAAUCCUCCCAUGAAUUCCCACAACGAUCCGUAAUCGAUGUAAUGUGGUCCCUUAUCUCUGAUAUCGUGGCAAGUCCAAAUAGUGCAACCAUUUUCUUCUCAGAAACCCGAUUUAAUUCCAUUUCACGAACAUAACAUCUUAAAUACCUUGAAAUAUUCCUCCCAUCAAAUUGAUCAAUUUUAUUGACCAUUGCUUGCAAUGCUUUGGUUGCCAAAGCUUCCUUUCGAUCAUUGCUUUGCUGUUGCUGCAUUGACAAUGAGAAGGCUUGAAACAAACUAGCAAUAGACGGAUCCAUGUGCAUACCUUGUCCUUUAGAAGACUCUCCACCAGAAACUUCUCCCAAAAAUCCUUCAAAAUUUUUAUUUUCGUUUUCCGUAAAAAUAAAGAUAAAAUCAACUGAAAUCCAAUACCUUCCACCUCAAGCUUUCACGUCGGGUUCACCACUUAUGUCGUAUUACGUGCUUUCCUGCUCGAGAACGCGCCGAGCGUUUGGCUGUAGAAGGUAGUAUGGAGAUUCGCCGAUAGUCAAGCAGUCUAUCAGUUUUUGACUGCUGGAAUAUAAACGACUGCAACAAUGUACCGUAAAUCUAUACGGAUGCUCUUCGACUGCUUGUCGAAGUCUUUUUUUUUUUUUUUUUUGCCCCAGCCGGUAGGUCUCUAGACGUUACAGAGAACCCCGAACAACCCAAACUGUUAAUCUUCAAUACCCCUUUGUACUUACGAUCUUGUAUCCACUGAGUGUCUCGUUAGAUUAACCCAAUAAAUUUCAUUCACUCCGCAUACUCAAUCCUAUAGACACCCUUUUAAUCCUUCAAUCACAGACGUAACUCGAUUUUUCAAAACAGUCAAGAGUAUUCAAACCCACUUCAUUUAAAAAUCCCGAUUCACCAUUACAACACUGACUUUAGCAGCGAUUGCCUCAGUCUUCCCAAAACUCUACGAAGAAGAAAAAUCCAAAUUCUAUGUCUUUCCUUCCCCGACCCGAAGCAUGAAGCUCCUCUCUCUAAUUCCCUUGAUCUUCAAAAAACCUCCAAUGAAACCCGAACUGGUAACCUUGCAAAAGCUUGAAAACUCGCUCCCCCCCCCGAUUCCCCAAAAAAAAACCCCCCCUUUCAAAACUAUAUCCCCCCUAACCUUAUCCUCUGAAUUUCUUCAAUCUUCCAUCUUAGAUCCGAAAUUGGCUCCCACCUCAAGCUUGUAUCCGAAAUUGGCUCUCGUCGUCAAGUUUGGAUCCAAAAUUGGCUCUCGCCAUCAGAGCUUUCUCCUCCGUUUUUACCUUUAAGAAAUCCAUUUACCGAAAACAACGUUCCCUGAAACGGCACAGAGAACAGGACAGCCUGAAACAGAAUCGAACCUCGUAAUCGGGACCACAUUGAGUCGCCCGACCAAUUCAGGUCCUAUAUUGGAAAAGAUGCCCGUAAUAACUUGGAUGUUCCCGUAAUUGAGUCAAAUUGGUCCUCGCGUCAGAUUGCCUAAGACCCGUAGUAAGACCUGGAUUUCUCGAAAUUAGACUGCAUUGCAUUGAGCGGCCAAUUCAGGUCUCAUAUUGGAUAAGAGGACCCGGAUUGGAUUAUCGAAAUUGGAUCCAAUUCGCUCCUCGAACCCGUCGUGUGAAUUGGUCCUUCUCUUCUUGCUGACUCCCGUUAUUGGAAUCGAAUGGAGCAUUUCAGUAUGCCCCGGCUGACUGUAACGGAGUGACUGAACCUGACCACUCAGUAUUUGUACUGGAGUUGGUCGAUGCUCCCAAUAUUCGAGGUAACUGAAUAUUAAUAAAAUUCCCCUUUCUUUUUAUUUUCACUGUAUACUCGUGUUACGACACGACAACAGUGAGGCUUACAAUUGGUACCGGGACCAUGAUGAGGGACAUUUUACUACGUGGUCCUAGUUGCAAGUAGCCUUCUUAAACCACUUUAGGCCGGAGGUUGGACAAAGUACAGCCUUGAGAGCACUGGGAGCGGUACGACAGCAAAGAGACGAGGAAAUGGCUAACUACAUCAGGAGGUUUGACUUGGUCUUCAUGUGUUAUGUAAGAGGAUUGUUGAAUGGCGAUACGUUAAAGCAAUUCUUCAUUGAAGGAUUUGCUAAUCGAUCUACAAUCAAGGGAGUAUUAGAGAGAAACCCAGCCACUUUAGAGGAAGUCAAAACAGCGACGCACGUUGUAGAUUUAAUCGAGAGAAGUUAUGAAAGGCAUUAGAGGAAGGAAGAUGAGUCUAUCCCAGGGUUUAUUCCAAUUAAUCCCGUAAGCCAAGCGGUAGGACCAAGCACGUCAGGUACACCUCCGAUAGUCGACAAUAGUGCCCAAUAUUACAAUGUCAUGCCCACGGCCACCAGAGCUCCGGUACCCUUAUUGGCAUUACCAGAGCCACAAUUGGAGAGGAGAGUGGAGGACUUGGAGAAGAAAAUACAGGCCGGACAAGAAGGUUUUCAAGACUCCAUGAUGAAGCAGAUCCAAGCCUUGACUGAGCAGAUGGCAUUCAUGGUAAUGAAUCAAAAUUCAAACACUCCACCUCCUCGGAUAGAGUCUGGUAACCAUAACUCGGGGGUUUGGUGUACUACUUGUGGCUAAAAUGGACAUUCAUCUCUUCAGUGCCGAGUAAGGCCUCAAGGUAAUCCAAAUCCUCAACCAUACCAGCCAACACAUGGCUAUGGAAGAGAUAGAGGACCUCAGCAGCGGCAAGGAGGUUAUCAAGGUGGUCCUCAAGGAUAUGGUAGAAGUGGCAAGCCUCGGAAGGAGUACCAUGAGCUUUGCAGGAGAUGGCAUGAGCCGGAUCAGUGCUGGGAUGAUGGCCAACCAUGGCCGUGUGGCAAUUGUGGUGGCAAUCACCCUACCCAUGAAUGUAGACAACCUGAUAAGGUAAUUCAACUACCACCACCAAUAACAAAUCCUUAUGAGAACGCGCGGAAUAACAUGAGAGAUCAGAGACGACCUCAUGAUGAUGAUCAGAGGGGCCUAAAACCUCCUAAUCUCUACUACAACUAUGAGGAUUUCAGACAAAACCAUCAACCUCUGGAAAGGUUACAAACCCGCCAUGGUUAUAUCCCAGUUGCCCAAAAUCAACAAGGUAGCUAUCGAAACUAUGCAAACCAGAAACAAGGUCCAUCUUCUAACCAAGAUGUUAGAAUAGCAGAAGAGGUCUUAUUGAAGGGUCCUGCACCAUCUCUAGCAAAGACCACAGUGGUGAUUGAAGAACAUGAAGCACCUUCUAAUUUAGUGACCCACGAAUUGAAGAAAGACGGAGGUGGUAGCCAUGAGAAUGCUACUUUGGUUGUGAUUACCCGAGGGCAAGCUCAUAGGCAAUCACCAAUCGAUGAAGAAGACUUAGAUAGUAGUGAGUCUGAAGAGUUGUUGGAUUUAGUAGCUCUUGAGGUGGCUGCAAAGGAGGCGGCAAGAAUUACAAGGGAGAUAGGCGCCGCGGUAGGUGAUGAAAGGUCAUCUGAAGGCUCUGAUCCAAGUAAAGGGUUAGAACUGGGUGAAUGGGAGGGUCCUGAUAUUCCAGAGGAGGAGUUUGGAGGGUUGGGUCGUACGAUGCCAACCUCUUACCAGAAGUAUGAUCUCUGGAGGGACUUGCGGAGGAUAAAGGCUGACAUCUCAAUUGCUCAACUAUUGGAGAUAUCUCCUUUGAUGAGGAAGAGUUUCAAAGAAGGAUUACCUAGGGCGAAGAGGAAGAAGAAGACUCAGAAGAGGACAGUGGCUAGGGUACAAGCAUCUAUUAGGCCAGUGGAUGUGAAGGCAGUGGAGAUCGAGGUCACUAUCAUGGACAAGGUGGUUCCGAAUGUACUCAUUGAUGGAGGUAGUGGGCUUAACAUCAUGCUACUUCAUACCAUGGAGAAGUUGGGGUUGAAUUUAACCGGACCUUCAUUAUUUGUAUUAAACAUGGCAGAUCAAAGUCCUGCUAGGCCUUUAGGCUAGAUCACGAACUGUAAAAUCUCUACAGGAGGGGAGGAUUACUUAGUGACCUUCCAUGUGAUCAAGAUGCACACUUCCAAAGAAUCUUUUCUACUUCUCUUAGGUCGUCCAUGGUUGAGGAUGGCCAAUGCCACCAUCAUGUGUGGUGGUGAUAAGCCCUCCAUAGUUUACGGUCCAUAUGAAAAUCCCACUAAAUUUAGAAUCAAGCCUUUGAUAGGACUCGAGGUGGUUGACACCAUAUCUAUUGGAGAAGGCACACCAUUAAAAUCCGUGGAUGGGAUGACGUUUGAAGUUGAGGUUCAAACCUUGAAGUGUCUUGGUCCAAAUCUCUACCAUUGGUCAGACAAUGGAGAGUAUGCCAAGUGGCUCUAGGACAACCCUGAUUCUUCAUCAGAAUUGACGGCAGGAUUGAAUCUCAUUGGAAUGGAGUUGGACGAUGGUUUGACACCUUUAAUUGAGGUAGAUGUCCAUUUGAUUGGAAUAGAGGAUGUUGAAGGAGUAGAGGUUUUAGAGGAAAGUGAGCAUUUGGGACGAUCAUUGAAAUUUAAGACUGGUUCUUCGGGAAUUAUGGUUGGAGAAGACGUUUUCAGUUAUCCCAAUGUGCCUUCGGAUUGGUAUCGAGAUAACAAUGAGCAAUCUCACGUUGCUAAGGAAGACUAGAAGUUUGUGACAGUGGAGUUUGAAGGAGAAGAACCAAGACAAAUGAAGAUGGGAAGCCAACUAGAGGAUGAAGAGAUCAAGGCCUACUGUGAAUUGGUAAGACAGUAUCGGGAGGUCUUUGCAUGGUCUUACAAAGAGUUAAAGGGGAUUCCUCCUGAGAUUGUAGAACAUCGAAUUCCCUUGAUGACCGGUGCAGUGCCGAUCAGGCAAAAGGAGAGGAGAAUGAAUCCUCAGCUUCAAUUGAUUGUGAAAGAGGAACUGGAGAAAUUACUCCAAGCAGGUUUUAUUAAACCUGUUGAGAUUACAGAUUGGGUCUCUCCCAUGGUGCUUGUAAAGAAGAAGAAUGGUAAACUUAGGGUGUGUGUGGAUUAUAGAAAGUUGAAUUUUUGCUCCCAAAAAGACCACUUUCCCUUGCCAUUUAUCACUAGCAUCUUGGAAGAAGUGGCAGGUCACGAUUUAUACACAUUUAUGGAUGGAUAUUCUGGAUACAACCAAGUGUCUAUUGCACCUGAAGAUCGACACAAGACUGCAUUUACAACACCUUGGGGGAUGUUUGUGUGGCAUGUGAUGCCAUUUGGAUUAUGUAACGCCCCUGCUACUUUCCAACGUCUGGUGAUGUCUAUCUUCUCAGACUUGUUAUACAAAUCAAUGACCGUGUUCAUUGAUGAUUUCAGCACCCAAUCUGAUGCAGAUUCUCACAUUCAUUUAGUGAAAGAAAGCUUAGAGAGGUGCAAGAAAGCUCGAAUGGCCCUGAAUCCAGAAAAAACCUAUCUUGCCUUGACUAGAGGCAUUUUGUUGGGAUAUAUGAUUAGUAAGAGGGGUCGUGAGCCCGAGCCAGAAAAGGUGAAAGUAAUUCAAAAUUUAUCACCUCCUACUAGUGUGAAGGAAGUGCAACGUGUAUUGGGACACACCGGUUGGUAUAGGGAGUUGAUUGAAGAUUACGCCACUAUUACCCUUCCCAUCACUAGCCUUCAGAAGAAAGGCACCAAAUUUAUAUGGACUCAGGCUUGUAAUGAUGCUUUCGAGGUUCUAAAGAAGGAAUUGUCUUCUUAUCCAAUAUUGAGGCCCCCGAGGUGGGACUUGCCUUUCCACAUCUAUUGUGAUGCAAGUGCGGUGGCGGUUGGCAGCAUUCUGUGCCAACUUGUAGAAGGCCCAAGCAAGGGCAAGGAUCAUCCAAUUGCCUACGCUAGUAGGCAAUUAAAUCUUGCAGAGAAAAAUUAUUCCACCACUGAGAGGGAAUGUCUAGCCAUGGUGUUCUCAGCUAAGAAGUUUAGACAUUAUCUGUUGAGCAACAAAGUGGUUUUUUAUGUGGAUCACAUGGCCAUCAAGUAUUUGGUUAACAAACCUGAGUUGAGCGGUCGGCUAGCUAGGUGGGUCUUGUUGCUACAAGAGUUUGAUUACACUGUGGAGUACAAACCUGGAUCCGUACACAAACAAGCAGAUCACAUGUCGAGAUUGCUUGGAGGAAUGGAGACCCACCUGAUUGAUAAUAGAUUGAUAGACAAGAGUCUUUUCUUGGUGACAGCUAAACCAGCAUGGUAUUCUAGGAUUAUUGAGUUCUUGACUACUCAACAAUUGCCAGUGGAUUUAUCCAAGGACGAGAGGCGGAAGAUUCGGGUCAAUAGUCGUCAUUUUGUGGUAUUAGGGAACCGGUUGUAUCGACGUGGAUUGGAUGGAGUGUUAAGACGUUGUGUAAUGGAAGAUGAGGUUCCUUCUAUUUUGUCAGCUUGUCAUGACAGUGCGUGUGGCGGACAUUUUUCUGGCCAAUUGACUGGUCAGAAAAUUCUUAGGGCUGGUUAUUACUGACCAACACUCUUCAAGGACGCUCAUACCUAUGUGAGACGUUGUGAUGCAUGUCAGAGAUUUGCUGGGAAUGACAUUCACAUGCAGUUGCCGCUUCACAUUUUCCUACCAUUGGUGCCAUUCGAGAAGUGGGGCAUCGAUUACGUAGGAGAGAUUCAUCCUCAUUCAUCUCGAGGAAUGGCAUAUAUUGUAGUGGCCACUGAAUAUCUCACUAAGUGGGCUGAAGCCAAGGCUAUGAGGACAAAUGAUGCCAAGAAUGCUGCAAUCUUUCUCUUUGAGAAUGUGAUUACUAGAUUUGGAGUCCCGAAGAUUUUUGUGAGUGAUCGAGGUACUCAUUUCCUCAACGAGGUGAUUGAAUCCAUGACUGAGCGAUUCCAGAUUGAUCACCGGAAGACUGCACCCUAUCACCCUCAAACCAAUGGUCAGACAGAGCGAGUCAACCAAACACUUGGUACUAUAUUGAUGAAAACUAUUAGAGACUCUAAGCGUGAUUGGGAUGUGAAACUGCCAGCCCCCUUAUAGGCAUAUAGAACAUCAUUCAAGGUCACCACGCAGGCUACGCCAUUCUCUCUAGUCUAUGGACUGGAAGCAGUUUUACCAAUUGAGUUUGAGGUUCCAUCCCUUCGGAUUGCAGUAGAUUCCAGAUUGACUGACAGACAAUCUUUAAAGACAAGGUUGUACGAGCUCGAGGCGUUGGAUAAGAGCAGAAGACGAGGGGCUCAACACAUUGAGGCCAUCCAGAGGUGGCGCAAGGUCGUGUUUGAUAAACGGAACAAGACUCAAGUCUUGCAACCUGGUAUGCUAGUAUUGUUACAAGAUGCUCGGAAGAUCGACUUUCCAAGCAAGUUUGAUGCCAUAUGGUUGGAUCCUUAUCUUGUCAAGGAGGUGUUUUUAAGCAACUCCGUACAAUUGGAGACCUUGAAUGGUCAAUUGUUUCCCACACAAACAUCAGGUAGCAGGUGUAAAGAAUAUAAGACAUGAGGCAGCGCAAUUUUGGACAAGAGCUCCACCUUUCUAUCUUAUGACAAGGCGAUAGUAUGAACUGGCAUGGUAAAAAUACUUAAAAGGACAAAAAAUGGCAAGUACAAGCUGGAUUCGUCCCCUGAUGGUCGCCAAUUAUGUGAGCCCAAAAGUUGGUUCACAUUGUUGGUUAAACUAAAAAAAUCUAAAAAAAAUGAGGAUUUUGAUUAUGUUUUGUUAUAAUAAGUUAGUUAUAGAUAUUAAUGUUAGUGGCUUAUUGAUGAUUAGUAGUGGAAAGAAAAAUCAAGGGAGAAGGGAGUGGUGGGAAAGAUAAGAAAAAGAGCCAAAAAAAAAAAGAAAAAAAAAGAAAAAAAAACAAAAAAAAAAAAAAAGGCCAAGAAGAAAGAAGGAAGAAGAUGAAGAGGGACAAGGAGAAGAAGAAAAAAAAGGAGAAGAAAAUAAUUAGAAGUAAAUUUAUUGUGAUGGGUUUGUCAAAUUGUUGGUUCUUAAUGAUCUAGAACUUAGAUUUGGGUAUAUGAAUAGUCAAACUUGAUGUUUAAAUAUGUUUUAAACUCAUUGGUGGAGUUAGUUUUGUCGAAAAACGCUUCAAAUUGGGGAUUUUGGGCAUGUCUAGCACUAAAAUCGGGUUUAGGACUUAGGGUUAAUGUGGGCCCUUGAUCUUGAUUAGGGUUGGUGGAUUCGGAUGGUGGAGAUGUGGCCGCCACCCUUUGGUCUCUUCCUACUUGGAUAAGAGGGUGGGGGUGGCCACACUCGCUCUCUCUCUCUUUUUUUUUUUUGGGGGGCGAAGCCAUGCCAAAUUGCAUCCCCACGUACCCUUGUUUCUAUAGAGCUGCAAUUGCGCAGCUGUAGUGUAUUAGUUAUCUGGAAAUAGAACGUCAAACUUUACCAAUAGUUAGAUCUUGUCGUUAGCUUCCUCGGGACAGUAGGCACGCUUUGUUUGGAGAGAAAACAAGAAAGUUGUGGUUUUAGUGACAAGGAGGUCAGCUGCCGGCCAGAUCUGGAGGUCCGACUUUGGAAGGCAAGUGUUGGCGGACAGUAUUGAAUUUGGAGCUGAAACUUUUGUGGGGGAUGGUUCUUGUUGUCAGCUUUGCAAGGACUAUUUUCACGCUUAGAUUGAGUAAAGGCCAAGGAAGUUAUGGUGGUUGGAGUGAAGAGGAGUCGGCCGUGGUGAAGAUGUAGCACUCCGCCAACUCAAGCUACUUUGGAAGGUCAUAUCUUGGAAUUCACUCAAGAUUUUCAAGAAAAAAUUGUUGGAGGUGAUGCGGCUUCAAUUCUAGUUUCUGGAAUGCUAAAGCAUAUGCGUUGCACAACUGGAAUGGAGCAAGGGCAAGGGUUUUUGUGGCCAGGGGUGCUCUGACUAAGCCGAGAAAGUUAGGCAACUUUGAGGCAAGAUUUCUCUUAGCUUAAUUGUUGUUUUGCAUUGAAUUUUGUUGGAGGACAAGCGCUUGUAAGUCUACUUUCUAAAAUAGCAAAGCUUGUUAUAAACAAGUUAGUGAUGCAACCAUUGUAGUGGAAUUCGUGCAAGGGGGUCGCUACCAUGACUUGGAAGGUGGCGACUUCUAAUUUUCUUUAAUUUUUAGGAUGAAUCUUGGAUGAAUUAGGUCAAUUGCACGAAUUGUCAGUUGGAUGAUAAGUUGACUUAUGGUUGGAUGAAUGAAUCUUUAGAUGAAAAUUGGAUGAACAAACUUUGAAUGAAUGAAUGUUAUAGGAUGAAUGAGAUUUAAGGAAUGGAUGAUUGAUGAAGGGAAAUUUAGGAUGAAUGAGAUUUAAGGAAUGGAUGAUUGAUGAAGGGAAAUUUAGGAUGAAUGAACUUAGGGUUUAUGGAUGAACUUAGGGUUUCUAGAUGAACUUAGGGUUUCUAGAUGAACUUAGGGUUUCUAGAUGAACUUAGGGUUUCUGGAUGAACUUAGGAUUUAUGGAUGAACUUAGGAUUUAUGGAUGAAUUUAGGGUUUAUGAAUGAACUUAGGAUUUAUAAAAAUUGCGUGUGAGUGAAGUUAAUCCACUUGACUACUAAACGCAAUUAAAGGUGGAGGAAUUUAGCUCACACCUUUGUUGAAAAUGAUGUACUCUAAAAAGUCAACUUGAGUAGUAUGGAAUACACAUUUUUUCAACUUGGCAUAUAAUCCUGUAUUUCUAAAUUUCUGUAACACGUUGUCGUAAUGUGUGAAGUCUUGCUUGAGAAUGCUCCGAGCACUUGAUUGUAGAAGGAAGAAUAGAAAUUGCGAUAAUAAAAUCCUAAAUAGAAUACUAACAAUGCUCUAAUUAGACUAUAAUAAUGGUAAACAAAUGUAAUCAAAUUCAAAACAACUCAAAGAAAUUUCAAAUAAACAAUAAAAUUCUUAAAGAAAUAUUAGAAUGAUCACAAAUUUUACUCAAAUAUAUGUCAAUUCAACAUUAAUUUAAUUCUAGUUAAAAUCCUAUUGAAUUUCACUCAACUUUAGACCAAACCUAAUUAAAUCUUAAACCCUAAUAAUUCCUAAAUCCUAAGUCAAAUCCUAAACAAAUCUUAAAUUAAACCCUAUUCCAAACCCUAAAUCCUAAACCAAACCCUAAAUCAAAUCCUAAACCAAAUCCUAAUCCAACCCUAAACCCUAAACCAAACCUUAAAUCAAAUCAUAACCAAACCCUAAUCCAAACCCUAAAUCAAACCGUAAAUCCUAAUCCAAAUCCUAAACUAAAUCCUAGCCAAAUCUUAACCAAAUCCCAAACCCUAAUCCAAAUCCUAAUCCAAACCCUAAACCGAACCCUAGCCAAAUCCUAAUCCAAAUCCUAGUAAUUCAUAUGACAGAUUUAAACCUCAAUAUCUAAUGAAUAAACCGUCGAUCUCAAUUCAAAAUUUGCACACUUCUUAAAAAUCAAGUUCAAAACAAGAAAAAAAAUUUUGAAAAGGAUCGGAGUUACCAUAUUGACGAAAACCUCAAAAAUGUGUUCGGGUGUUAGCCUGCUCCCUUCUCCAAUCUUGUUGCUAAAUCUUCCAGAGCCAAUUUUUCUUCUUUUUGCCAUUCGAUUGGUUUCAAAUUUCUCAUGGACAUAGGAAAACAAGUCUAAUAUCCUCUCACAUAAGUUUUACUCCAAUCCAACUAGUAGAUUGCAUGAAAUCUUAAAAACCCUCACUGGACCUAAAAUUCUACUUUCUGAGACCUUGACUCACUUAAACCUCCAUAUCUCUCAGUUCAACCGUUAGAUCAAGCUCAAAUUUACAAAAUGUAUUCAACACAACUAUAACCAUAAACCAAAAAACAUUUAUCCAUAGAUCUGCAACAAAACCUUCGAAAUCACUCAAAAUAUAAACCCUAUUCUAUUUCAUAAAACCCAAGUCAUCUGAAAAAAAACUCAAUUUUGUAAAGCUCUUACAAAGUCAUAUCAACUCCAAAUCACCCAAAAUCAAUGUUUAUAGAAACCCUAUCCAACCUUCUCUCCAAUCCCAUUCUCCGAUCUGCCAAAGAGUCCCAGAGUCGUCGUCGACACUCGGUUUUGUGCCUCAGGGUCUGAUUUCGACCCUGGUUCAUAACUGGCCCUCUCCGGGUAUCAAUAUCUAGUUUUUCUAAGUAAUUUGUUCCUAGAAUUUACUCUUAACUUUCUUCUAAAGAUUUCUAUAUCAUUUAUUUUUCCAAUCUACUUUGAUUUGCCUUACUUAUGGUACUACAAAGUAAGUAGAAGUCACCUUUGUAAAAGGCAGCAUUGAUACCUUUUAAUUUUUCUACCCCUUUGGCUAUUAACUAUAUUUCUAAGAUAAUUUGUUCUAAUACUUUGAACUAAGAUCUCUUAAAUUAUAUUAAUCUCCACACUCUUUCACCUAUUAAUCAUAUUACAUCACGACAACGUGACGAACAUGAAGUUCAUGUUUUUUUUGUAUUCUUAGAAUAUAUUAGAAUAUCGUCUAAAUAACAAAUGAUAAAAUCAUCAAGAAACUCACAAAAAACAUCAUUCAUAAGAUGUUGAAAAGCAGCCAAUACAUUUGUGAAUCCAAAAGGCAUGACAUUAUAUUCAAAAUGUCCAUACCUAGUUCAAAAAGUAGUCUUCUAUUCAUUUCUUUGUAUGAUAUGAACUAAGUUGUAUGCUCCUUGUAGAUUUAUUUUGGAAUAGAUUUUUGCUUGAUUGAAUUAAUCAAAAAGUCCUAAAAUCAAAGACAAAUCAUACCUAUUUUUGAUGGUGAUCUUAUUGAGUCCUCGAUAAUCCACAUACAUUUGUAGAGAUCCGUCUUUCUUCUUUACAAAUAAGAUAGAAGCCCUAGUUGAAGAUUUAGAAUGGCGUAUGAAAUUCUUUGCCAAGUUUUUAUUAAUGAAUUCUUUUAAUGCAACCAAUUCAUUUUGCGAUAAGUUAUAGAUUGGUCCAAAUGGUGGUUGAGCUCUUUCUUGCAAAUCAAUUGAACAAUCAUAAGGUCAAUACUAUGGAAGAAUAUCUCCAUUCUUCUUUUCAAAAAUGUCUUAGAAUUCUUGAUAUUGGCUAAGAAUACCACUUGAUAUUUUUCCAUCAUUAGAAAUGGACGUAGCAUAUAUAGCAAAAGAUGAUCCUUCUUUUACAACAUCCAUGAAAGCUUUUGCACCUAUCAAUAAAGGUUUGGAUAUACUAGACUUAUGUACUUCUAUUUCAUUAACUCGAUCUUGGAUUAUACUAUCAAAAAAGUUAAGGUUAUGAGAAAUCUAAUCUAUUUAAAGAUUAUAUUUUUCUAGCCACAAUAAUCCUAAAAUAACCAAAUUAGAAAGAGAUCUUAUUACAUUAAAUACUAUUACAUUGUUAUGAUCUUUAAGUAUUACAUCUAAUAAAACAGUCUCAUCGAUAACAUUUCUAGAAGACAACAAACAAUCAUUUAUGACUUCUAUAUGUAUGGAUUUAAUUUUCUUGACUAAAGUUAUUUUUUGAUUUUUGACAAAAUCUUUGUCUAUAAAAUACGUUCAAGCUCUUGAAUCUUGUAAGGCAAAGACUGUGAUUUUUAGGUCCUAUAUAUACAUAUAUUAUAAAAGAAGGUGAGGGAUUUGAAGAGAGAAUAAGACCUUUAUUAGAUAUUACACAUGAUUCCAGCCGCACGGUCUAUAUUAUAGCUGGAGAAACUUAUUUUAUGAUAUAUUAUCAUUUUUGAUAAUUGUGCACCUCAAUUUGUAAUUGUGUUGCUUCUUUCGACAAUGUUGAAGAGUAUGCUUAGCUUCUCUAUAAUAUAAACACAAACCCUUGUGAGUGUAAAUUUCACUCCUCAAUCUUAAUUACAAGAUGGCCUCAAUUAAGAGUUACUUGUAAUUGGUGGUAUGAAGUGAAGUAAGAAAUUGGCAAAAGACCAAAGAAGAACAACUACAAUAUAAGUGAAAGAAAUAAAAUCAAGUAAUCACAAUACCCAAAAUUAAGUCACAGUUUGUGCAUUCGAUUUUUAUUUAGAAAAAAAUAAAAGUAAAAAAUAAAAAAUAUAUUUUUAGAUAGAUAAUUUUUUUUAUCUUUCUAAUGACAUAAAAAUCAUGUAAUUCUAAGUUACUAUGAAUAAGUUAUGAUAGAUUAAAAAUAAAAUGUAAAUAAUAAAAAAGUUAAAAGAAUAAUUUUUACCUCAAGGAAAACUUGCUUAAGAAAUCAAAAGUUUGAGCCUCACCAAGGCUCACAAGUAGUGUAUAUUGGUUGUCCAAAGAGGCUUUGCGGCCUUAGGCUUAUCUUCCUACCUACAUCCAAGGUGCUACAAUCCAUAUGGAAAUUAUGUACCUCUCUUCUUACAAGGACUAUAGUAGCUACUGGUCCCCCUAUUUUCUACUAGUAAAGCUACUUUUCUUACAUUUUUGACUUCACCACGGUGUUCAAAAACACCCAAUUAGCCUAGAAACCUUGUAUAGCCUUUAAUUCUUGCUUCAUUUCUUCAUAAUGGCUCCCAAGGUGGUAAAAUUCAAUUUUACCACUCUUAAAAUUUUCUAUAAAAUUCAUAAAAAAAUCUAGAUAAAUUCUAAAUAAAUUCUAAGAAAUCCUAUAAUAUUUCUAUAAUACUAAUAUCCAUAUAAGGCUAUAUUUUUCUAUCUUGGUGAUUUUUUAUAGUAAUAAAAUCAAUUUAAAUCCAUUAAAAAUCCUAUUUUCUAAAUAAUUAACUAAAAAGACAUGAAGUUCUUUUUCAUGCUUCUUCUAACUACUAACUAAUCAUUGAUAGGAUUUCAUAAGUAAUAAAUGUAGAUAGGAAGCUAAUAAAGACAUUGGUCUCAAUAAUUAACUCUUAAUACUUAAUAAUAAGAAAAAUACUAAACUAACUAAGAUAAUUGCCUCCAAGACUUAUUAAGACUCCAUUUUUAUAAAUUUUCUUCUAAUAAGACUUUUGUAACUUAUAAAUAUUCUUAAAUUAUAAUAACUACUUGGAUAGUUAAAAAGACUCUUUAAUCUUAAUAUUUUUAUAAUUAAAUGAAUUAAAACUAUAUUUAUAAUUAAUCCACCAAUUAAGACUAAUUUAUGGGACUCACAAUCUUAAUGGUGACGUCGACUCUUUUCCUACUCCUUGAGAGGUUAAAAUGUAUUGUAUCAAUUUGCAUUGGUUCUAGCCUUUAUGAAUAUAUUUCUGAAAAACUUGGAAGUUGUCGCCAUUACUUGACUUGUUUCUCUCCAGCCAAGUCUUUGUCCUUGAUGUCUUUCAAAUAAUUGAUUGUCACAUGCAAUAGCUUGAGCAAUAAAUUUUUCCAAAGAUUUUACUUUCAACAUUGUUAAUAACAAAUCUUUGACGCUAUCCUUCAAUUCAUAUCAAAAUUGAUUGAUAAGUGCUUUCUUAUUCUAGUCCACGUCACAAGCAAGGUUUUGGAAUUCAAUAGUAUGUGUGGUGGCUGAUCGUGAUUCUUCUAGUGCUCCCAUGGUUGAUAUUGGUGAUGCAUGAAAUUUCUUCCCUAAAAGUAUUGAAGCUCGUGAAGAUCUAUAAUAGUUAUAAAUCUAUUCUUGCUUUUGCUAGGAGUAGCAUCUAUAAUCUUUCCUUCCAUAGACAACUCAAACAAAUCCAAAAAAUUAAAAUAAAAGAGGGUAAUCUACAACCUCUAAUAAAACUUUCUACAAAGAGAGAGAAUCCACUCUCUUUAAAGAAAAGAUUAGUAUUAGGAAAAGAAGAUUUUUUGUUUAGAGGUGGAUAGUCCACAACUUUUAAAAUAUAAUAAUAGAAGUGGAAUAAUUCUUUCACUUCUAAGAUAAGACAAAAACAAUAUAUUAGUACUCUUAUCAAACUAUCAAAGAUAUCAAUCUUGAGGAAAGAAAAUCCUUAUUACACUCAUGUAUCAUUGAAAAGAACUAGAAAGUAAUACAAAGAUGAUAUAAUAUUGAACUAGAAUGGCUAUUGCCAAAAACAAGGAGACUAGAAAGUCUUGGAAUAAGACUAAGGACUAGAAAGGCGUUGAUAAGAGUGAAGAAGGCUUCUUUCUUGCCUCUGUAUAUACUCUUAAUUAUGAGCUACAUGGUGAUGUCCUAUAGGACCUCCAAAACGUGUUGACUUUAUUAGCCACAUGUCUUAACUUGCAAGGUAAGUUAUCUAUGUAUGCUCCAUAUAGUUAGCUUCUUCCACAAGCUAUUAUAUGGACUUAACUUGUUCUACAAGCUACAAAAACGUGGUUAAUUUGUUGGCUAAGUUUUUAUCCUAUAAAUAUAUCUAAAGUCAAAAUUAUAUUUAUAAAGCUUCUAAGAAGCUUCUAAUGAAACUUUAUGAAAUUAAUCUAUAUUUAUCUACUUCUAUUCAAUUAUAUAAGUAAUUAUUGGCAUGAAUGUAUAUAUUUAUGACACAUUGUAGAAGAUUUAACCAAGUUAUUCUUUCAUCUUCUUCUUUAAGGGCCUAUAAUAAUUAAGCCAAAAGAAAUAUGUAAGGAGUUAGAUUUGCACAUCCUAUUAUUAUAGAAGGUCCAUCAAACAAGUACUACGAUCUUUUAAACAAUGGUCAAAAUCAUCAUACUUCAACAAUAAUUCAAACCAAUUAUGGAACAUUACAAGGAUCUGUGGUAUAUAUCCAAAACCAAAAUCAAAAUCAACAACCACAAUCUUUUCAAGAUAUUAGAUACGAGGUGACUUAAUUUGAUGUACCUUCUACAUUAAACUUACCAUCUCCUUAAUCCAACUUACUACAACUAAAACAACAAGGAGAUCUUCUUGAAUAAUGUAUAUUUAUCUUUUUUGGUUGUAACUAGAAGUAUGAAUGCUAAAAAAUCAAAAAAUUUAGCACAACUUGAAGAAGAUGAGGAAUCUAUGGAUACUUCAGAAGAGUCACCUAAAUUUGUGGAAUUGUCAAAAACUACUCAAGAAGUAGCUAAAUCAUUAGAAGAUAAACAGCCUUCUUCUAUAGUUGAAUCUGAUAAAGAAGAAUACCAAUUUUUAGGCAAAUAAGGACCUUGGACUUCCAGUACCUAUUUGAAACAACCAACAAUCAAUAAAAUCUUUAAACUUGCAAAACAUUGUUGUAUUAUAUAAAGACUUGCUCGAGAAUGCAUCGGACACUUGGGUGAGGAAUGUAGAAUAGAAAUUGUAACAACAAAAUCCAAACUUUAAUAGAAUACUAAAUAAACUCUAAUUAAAUUUUAACAAUGCUAAGUAAUCUUUAAUCAAAUUUAAAAGAAAUCUUAAAGAAAAUACAAAAGAAAUAAUAAGAAAUCUUAAAAGAGUUUAAAAAAAAUCUACAAUAAAUCUUAAAAGAAUCUUUAAGAAAUACUAAAGAAAUAUUAGAAUAAUGAUAAAUAUAUCUUAAAUAAAUCUCAAUCAAGUUCUAAUUUAACUCUAGUUGAAAUUCUAAUGGACUUCAAUCAAAUCCUAAGCCAAAUCCUAAAUUCUAAAUUUUAAAUAAAUCCUAUAUCCUAAAUCCUAAACAAAUCCUAAAUUCUAAAUCCUAAGUAAAUUAUUAAUCUUAAAUCCUAAACAAAUUCUAAACCAAAUCUAAAAUCCUUAACUCUAAAAAAAUCCUAAAUCAAAGCCUAAACCCUAGUCCAAACUUAAAUCCUAAUCAAACCUUAAUCAAAUCCUAAAAAAAUCCUAAAUCCUAAAUUUCAAGUAAAUCCUAAUCCAAAUCCUAAGAAAAUUCUAACUCAAAUUCUAUAUCCUAGUCCAAUCCUAAAUCCUAACAAAACUUUAAUCAAAUCCUAAAACCUAAUCCAAUCCUAACCUUAAACCAAAUCUUAACCAAAAUCUAACCAACUCAACCUAAUCCUAACACAAUUUAGAACCUCAAUAUCUAUCAAUUAAUCCAUUGAUCUUACUUAAAAUUGUAUAUACUUUUAAAAAACUAAGUUAGCAA